rnacentral:lncRNA from 1 species
GUAUGGGUCUCUCUUAGACUUGGAUGAAGGAGUGGCAUGGCACCCCCAUGAGCUGCGCGAGGGUGGUGGACCGGAGCUUCCUCUCGGUCACGGCGGGGUCCUCCAGGAGCAGCACCUUGUCCUUGUCCUGGACGCCGGCCAUGUGCAGGUGGUCGCCGUCGUCCCGCUCCCUGCCACGGUACAGCAGCCGCUGCUCCCUGGGCCACAGCCCGGUGGCCAGCGACAGCAGCACCUUGAGGUCGCCGAAGGUGGCCGUGGCGUCGAUGGACACGUCGUGCUGCCACCCGCCGCAGCCGGCGGAGACCCGCACCAGGAUGGCCUCGACCACGCCGUCGUCGUCCGGCCCCCGGCGCUUCUGCACCAGCAUCCCGCCCGGCCGCACCUCCCACUCGAUCCUCUCGUGCUCGGCCACCAUCGCGCACAUGUCCAAGCCACCGCCGAUGCCCGCCGUGGUCUUGGACCGGCUCCUGAACAGCCUCCUCGGGCUCGGAAUCUUCACCAUCUCUGCUCCUCCGCGCUCUCUCUGUUCCCCUCCGCCUGCCUCGUGUGUGUGUGCGUGCGCGCGCGCUUUAUGAUGGAUGAUCGAUCACUUGAUGGAUGGAUGGAUAGCUUGCUGCUCAAAUGGGUGUUGUGCGGCGUGAGGCUUGACGGAGGGAUGCUUGGGAUUUUAAAGGAGGAGGAAGGUGUCGAGGAUGAGGACAAGGUCGGCAGUGGCGACAGGGACGAGAGCCGUGCGCGGGCGCGAAAAGACUCAAAGAGAGAAUUAAGAUAUGGGUGGUGACUAGGCGAAGCUUAGCGGGAAUAGAGGAUCAGCGUUAAUGGAGUAUUGUAUACGCCUGAGUCGCCGCGGGUGAGGCGACACAUGCCUGCUGUCGCUGAGACGGCGAGAUCGGCAGCACAUUGGGGAGGUGGCAACGCGGUCUCCGCCCUGCAACUGUCUGCAUGAGCGGCCGGGCCGAUGGAAUCCUGUCAACAGCUGCAGUUUCGUUUGUUUUGUUGUCGUUAGGUUCCAUUUCUUAACCAUUCACACUGUUCAUCCGGAACAUAACUGCUGUGCGGUAUUCUCGGGGAGGGCAGCUAUUCGGUACUCCGUCUCAACUGCAGCUGGUCAGAAAAAAAUCACAAAAACAAAUAAAUAAAUAAAUAAAUUGCAUGAAGUUUUUUUUUUUCAGCGCGGGUGCAGACGAGCCUGGGUAUAAAAAUGGAUUUUCACGGGAGCUUUUUCUCCGGACUGGAGUCUAUGUAUACUAAAAUGAGUUUCAUGCUCCCUCCGUCUUAAAAUUCUUGUCUUAAAUUCGUUUACAUACGAAUGUAUCUAGUCAAGUUUUAGUAUUUAGAUACAUUCAUUUUCUAGACAAACCGAAGACAACAAUUUUUGAACGGAGGGAAUACAAUAUAAAAAAGAGUUUUUCAUCCCUCUCGUUUUGGUGGCAAAAUGUGUAUUCAUCUUCUUUUCGCCAUAAAGUUUUCUAUCUAUUCAUCUCCAGUCAUGAUAAUAUAACAAACACCAUAAAUAAUAAAUAUUACAUACAAAUUCAUAGACCAACUAGCAAGGACUACAAGCGUAGUCAUCGCCCCUUCUUUGCCGGAGUCUGGUAAAAUUUGUUAUAGUAGAUAGUUGGUAAAUCGUCGCGCUAAGGCCUUAUAGUACCAGCGUAGUAGAACAAAAAACGUCAUCAAUGAAGAGUAGCGUAGAUUGAAAGGAUCCAACAUGAAUAAACACAAACAUAGACGAACUACGACCAGGUCCGAGCAAAUCCGCCAAGAAAAGAUCUGCGGGAGACAAACCUCCCAACGAUGCUAGACACAUCACCGGAAUAGGGUCAGGCGGGGAGAAACUUAUUCCAUCUUCAGGGAAUCAUCAUUGUCUCGUCUUUCUGGAUAGGACGUAAAUCCUAAGAAAACUAAAAAAAUCUAAAAAUAUAGCCAUCCUACUAGCAAGGGCCGAGACCCACCGCACCGCCAUGACCCUAAGACCACCGGAGACGAAACGGUCCGAAGACGACGCUGGUGGGAGGCACACGAACCCUAAGCUUUUCCUAGGGGAGGCUAUGGCUCCGUAUGUGACGCUCAUGUGUUUUCAUCUAUAUCUACCAUUUUCAAACAAAAAUGAUAAGUAUCUCACGUCAGGUACUUGCACAUGACGAACUGAAUGCUUUUUUAUAGUAAUUUUAGUUGAUGCAAGGAUGCCAAUUUUUAUUUACAGGCACAAUUCUCGGGCAAAAAAAUAAGAGAUAUUUGUCAUGCUUGCUUACUGAAGUUGCCAUGCUCAAUAAAUAUUAAUUAUCACCAAUAAAAAACAUUUUGCCAUGGUCACCUAUCCGUCGUUCGGUAGUUAUUGUCAUCCUUUUUAAAGAGGUUGUAUAUUUACCAAAUAACAACAUUUCAAGAAAAAUUCCUAAAAGAAACUUAAAUUACAAACAAAUUUCUAGUAAAUCCACUUUGCCGGGUUCAAAAAUGUCAACACAUGCAUGUUGCCGCCCCAAGGGAUCCACUACCCGGAGAAGAAGACGAUGUUGGCUCAACCGUUUGAAGUGGUGGUUUGGCUAAAUCGACAGCUCAAUCAUUGCAAACUGAAUCCAAUUUAUCACCCCGGUCCAUGUAUUUUUGUUCCUUUUGCUACAUUUUGUGUGAUAAUGUGGCUAACACAUUAAGUAUCCCACCUUCUAUCAUGAAAAUAUGGGAGUUAUGAAAAAACUUACUCCAAAGCCGAUGAAGAAGCCAGAUCAUCCUUAGAAGGACCGAAGAACCUACCUAAAACCCUAGAAGAGGGUUAGCAGUCCCCACUAACAGAGUCAGUGAAGGAGGAGGAGGGUAACGACCUACCGACGGAGGAGGGGUGGAGACAAGGAAUGCCGAGAAAUCGCCUCUCUCGGGGUUUGGGUUCGGUUUGUGUUGUCUCAUAAUGUGUUUCCUUUCUAACUAAGCAGUAGGUGGUAAGAGCAUCUACAGCCGGAAUUUGCAAAUCCGGUCCCUCAAAUAUCUGCGGACGCGCAUGUCUCCUAUUUGUUCAUGCAUGCAGUCACACUCUUUAUUUUUCUUCACAUAUGUCUUAUCACUUACACAUGAUUGAUGGAGAAAAAAAGAAAGAAAGAAAGAAAAGGAUGAAUAAAGAAAAGAAAAGGCUGGUAUGAGAUGAGAUCGCGUCCUAUGUGGUCAGGCGUGUCCGGAUGUCUGGUCAUACACGAACAAUGUAAAGUAUCCGGUUAGAUCACUUUUUCCUCAACGGGCGCGUCCGUACAUGUAUGAGGUUUAUUUGAAGGGUCCGGCUAUAGAUGUCCUAAGAGACUAAUCGAGCGAUCAGUUGAUUGAGUAAGUAAGCGUGCAUCUCAAGCCAUGGAGCUGAAACAUGUACAUACGUCUAGGAACCAUGAAUCUCAUAUACGUGUGCGUGGCAGGAGCCAUGUGGGAAUUGUUCCAAAAUGAUUCGCCGCACCUGACCCGGCUUAUUACCCGUGGCCCUGCCACUGGUCGAUCGGUCCCAGCCUUUGUAGCCUAGCCAAAAUGAAAUGCACCCGAGCUAUCCUUAUAAUAAUAGCACCACGUUACCACUGCGCGCCAUCUGGAUUUGGUCGAGACAAACCGCUGAUCGAUCUGAUGAUUGCACAUGCGCCGUAUUCUAUUCAUUGCAAGCGCUAAACUCCAUAUAGACUAUCGGAGGAGAUCGCGGCACCGGCGGCGGCAGCCGAACUGCGAGCACCGUGGCUCCAUUACUCGACCGAUCGGUUGGUGCUACGCAGGGGCGCGCACAAUGAUUUGCCGGGCCGCCGCGUCAUUCGUGUCGAUUUGGUGGGUGAUGUAAGUGGGCGGCUCGUUGGAGGACUUGUCCACAUUGGCCAUCACUUUUUACGUGGGGUUAGGUGGUAGUUCAGUUAAUUUUUAUGUGAAAUUUAGGACGUUUAUAUACUGUUCACAUACUGCAAUAUUCAUACUUUCUCAUACAAAAAUAAUUCAAAUCUCUUUUAGAAAAAAUAGACUUCUUGAGAUAAAAAUGUUGCCCAUAUACUGCAACAAAAUAGACUUUCUCACAUGAAAAAUACUCCAAAUCUCUCUUCAGGUUAAACAUUUAUCUACAUCUUACACUCUCUUAGAUAAUAAUUAAACUACAGGACAAAAUUCAUACUUUCAAAGUACAAGAAAGAGCAAAAUCCAUAAAGCAACAACAACUUGCACCAUGAAUUCUAAGUUUUUUUUUUUUUUUUUUGCAGAUGACAUGUAUGCUUCCAUCUACCACCUCAGCAACUCUUCCGUUCUACCAUGUACGCCUCAACCUGAGUCUGCAUCUGUAAAAGUUGGCAUGGUUCACACAAUUAAACUACAGUUCAUAGGAAUUAAUAUACCAAACAAACUUUGCUGAGUAGUGAAACUAAACUAACUGCUCUCAAAGACUCAAAUAGUGUAGCCAAGCAGAGCAAAUAUACUCAAUCUUUCUCUUUUUCAGUUUUCACGUACUUGCUUACAAGCAUGGAAAGAAAAUUCAAGUUCGGUAAAUAUAUUCUAGAGUCCAGACAAGAAACUUGAAAGUAAAUUCGUAGUGCACACAUACCUCAGUUAAUAGUAGUGGUCUUCCUAAACAAUAUCACAUUGAACAUCAGAUCUAUACUAAUCUUGGAGGCAGAUCAAGGCUUCGACAGUCUUGUUGCUCAUUCUACUUCUAUAGUCGCUUACCACACGAUGUCCGGUACUAAAAGCUGAUUCAGACGGUACCACGGAAGCUGGUACAACAAGAACAUCACGAGCUAUACAAGAAAGGAUGUGAUACUUCAAAGAUUGAAUAUACCACCAUUGAAGAAUGUUGAAAUCGUCUUUGCGAUCGAAUGUUUCUUCCUCCAAGUAUCUAUCAAGCUCAUUAGCAGAUUGGCGUUGCUUCUGGUGCAAGUGUUCAUCCCAAUCUGCCAAAGGAUCAUUCCCUUCAAUCAUAACCUCAUCAUUUUUCUAUCCUCGAGUUGACUCACCCAGUGCAUCUGCCAUUUGCGAAUAAUAUUCUUCAAACAGGCUAUUAAGAGCUUUUUUUCACAUCAUCCAAGUAUUUCUCUAUAUCUGAACCAAAGGCUUGUUUUAAACGAAACUCGACGAAGCUUAGUCUGAAUCGAGGAUCAAGGAUCAGAGCUAUACAAUUUGGCAAAUAUGACUCGAUCCAGUAUUUGUCAAACUUUGCUUGCAUCACAACAACCAUUGCUCAAAUAACAUCAUUCUCUGACGAUGCUUCCUUCUACAGCAACACUCUCACAUUCCAUAUUUGAUGGAAGUACAUGUUUGAGGUAGGAUAACUUGAACCAUAAACUACUUCUGUGGCUCUGUGAAAGACUCUUAAUAUAGCACAAACAGUUUGAGCUCUUUUCCACUCUUCCGAGGAUGGACAUAAUUUGUAAUCCUUGUCCCGUUCAACCAAAGUACGAAAUGAUCUUGAAAUAGGAGAGAUGACUCUAACAUAAGGAAGGUGGAAUUCCAACGCGUUAUCACAUCGACUCAGGGGAGUUUGCAAGAAAUACCAACUUCUGCAAUUACUGCUUUGAACUUAUCCAACCGAGAGGGGGAACUCUUAACAUACUUUGCACUCUAUCUUAUAUUAUCUAUCACACCUUUCAUCAGUGUCAACCUAUCUUGGACAAUCAAAUUUAGCACAUGGCAUGCACAACGAAUGCGAAAUAAUUGACCUUCAAUAUGCAACAUAUGCUUGUUUUUUAGAUUUUUUCUUAGAUAGUUAACCAUUGUGCCAUUAACAGUUGCAUUGUCUAAUGUUAUACUAAAGAGUUUGUCUUCAAUGUUCCAAUCUUGCAAACUCUUUAAUAAAACAUUAAACAUUGAUAUUCCAUUAUGUGGAGUCUCUACCAUAAAAACCUUAUGAUAUAUUUUCUCAAAGCCGACUUUGUGACAUAAUGGCAAGUUAUGCAUAGAUAUGACAAAGUUUGAUUAGCGUCCACAUACAGCUGUUAAAGAGACUCCGCCUCUAUAUUUCUUGAAACCUUCACGGAAUUUUUAUCUCUCUUCAUUAAACUGUUCCAUGCAAUCAUCUUUAAUAGUACCUCUAGAAACCAUGCUAAACAAGGGAUUCAAGCUUUUCACAAAGUCUCAAAAGACACUAUACUCAACAAAUGAGAAAGGCAACUCAUCCAUUACUAUCAUUCUAGCCGGCAACUUUCUAGAUGCAAUCUGAUCAAAAAUUCAUUGCUGAAGCAUAGAUCCAUGAGGAGAUGAAAUUGAGGACUUCAACUUGUCAAUAACAAGGGACAAAUCUGACCUUUUUUCGCAAGAAGCCAAGUGCCUUUGUACACCAUUAGUACCCACGCCACGUCCAGCUGGAAACACCUCAAGACAGUGGUUGCACCGAGCUUUGACAAGUAUGUUACGAUGAUAAAUAGGUUUGGCAUCCCUCCAGACAUCAGAAGUUAAUCUUCAUGUCUUGCACACUGUUAAUUGGCAAGCAUAAAAAUAAAGUCAACUCACAAGAACAUUUUUAAAGUUGUAACUAUAUACAAGAGUAAUUUUGGAAGAGAAAAACGAAGCCAACUCACUACGUGGUACAAAUGAAGUAAUCGCCAGAGAAGCGGAUCCUAAUAUAGAUGGUGACAUCGUGGACCACUUUUUUGAGGCUGCAACUCUUGCUAGAAGCCCAUGUUCUAAAGAAAGAAAGGAAUGCAGUUAACACUUACACACGUGAAACCGAUCGAUCCUCGGUCAAACAAGAGCGACGAGAAAGAAAGAAAAUUCAAUCGAGUAGGAGUUUGUGUGGGUUUCUUAGACACGGUGAAGAAAUGGGAGGUCAGCUCCAUUUUAGUGCUUUAUAUUUUCACGCGUAUGUUGAAUAUGGUUUAAUCAUAGUAAUCACACCACAUGACACCCAUCACAACUGCAACUGCAACUGCAACUCCAACCUCAAGGUAUGAAUGACGAAGAUGCAAAAUACAAAGCACGAAGCCAUGAUUAAACUGAAUUAACGCACCCUUCAUCUUUAGCGUUUAAGAGAAUCAACAAGUGGACAACAUGACUCAAAGAAGACAACUAGAGACACCGGCGAUAGAGUACACUGCACCUCAUAGAUCCAUGCCCAUGGCAACGACCAUCACUAAAGCAACACACCAUCUCAAGCCUUGCAACUGAGACCGACGAGGCAACCAACUCUAGCCAUCACUAUAGUAGACUCCACAGGCACUGAGACAAUGCCUUCAAGGACAUGAUGCCACCCUCGAAGUUCGUUAAGAUUAAUGUCGAUGCUAGUUUUGAGGAGGCCAUUAAUUCAACGAGCAUGGGGUUGUGGUUAGAAACCAUCAUGGACAAGUUGUCCUCUCUUCUUGGGAUUAUAUUGGAGCUUGUAGGAGCAUCGAUGAAGCAGAACUUAGAGCGACUCUACUUGACCUAUAUAUUGGUAUUACUCUAGACAAGGCUGUGAUUCUGAAAACUGUUUGUUCCUUUGUGGUCUUUGUUCUUCGAAGGGAUUGUAUGGAUAGGUCAUCCCUUGUUGACCUAAAGGAAGAAGCGGUAAGUGUCUCAAAGCUGUUUGGAAAUUUACAGAUCUCAAAGAUGAAUAGAAGAGCUAAUAUGGUGGCACAUGAGAUUGCUAUGUUUAGUUUUGAUAAUAGAUCUGAUGGGCUUCUUUUUAAUUAUGUUCCACCCGGUGUGGAAUUUUUUGUAAUGAAUGAUUGUACGAAUGUGUUAAGUUAAUUAAUAUAUGUUUUUUUAAAGGACAUGAUGCUAGCAUAUUGUGACCACCUAGCUUGUUAUAUCAAACCUAGAGACCGUGCCUUCAAGGACACGAUGCCACCGUGUUGCCACCACCUAGCCUGUGAUAUCAAACCUAGGGCUUCCUCUGAUGGCCCCGGGGGUGGGGUAGGGGGUGGGGGUGUUGGAAAUAUGCCCUAGAGGCAAUAAUAAAUUAGUUAAUAUUAUAUUUCUUUGUUCAUGAUAAUCGUUUAUUAUCCAUGCUAUAAUUGUAUUUAUUGGAAACACAAAUACAUGUGUGGGUACAUAGACAAAACACUAUCCAUAGUAAGCCUCUAGUUGACUAGCUCGUUGAUCAAAGAUGGUCAAGGUUUCCUGGCCAUAGACAAGUGUUAUCACUUGAUAACGGGAUCACAUAAUUAGGAGAAUCAUGUGAUGGGCAAGACCCAAAUUAUAAACGUAGCAUGUGAUCGUGUUAUUUUGUUGCUAUUGUUUUCUGCGUGUCAAGUAUUUAUUCCUAUGACCAUGAGAUCAUAUAACUCACUGGCACCGGAGGAAUACCUUGUGUGUAUCAAACGUCACAACAUAACUAGGUGACUAUAAAGGUGCUCUACAGGUAUCUCCGAAGGUGUCCGUUGAAUUAGUAUGGAUCAAGACUGGGAUUUGUCACUCCGUGUGACGGAUAGGUAUCUCGAGGCCCACUCGGUAAUACAACAUCACACACAAGCCUUGCAAGCAAUGUGACUAAGUGUAAGUCACGGGAUCUUGUAUUACGGAACGAGUAAAGAGACUUGCCGGUAACGAGAUUGAAAUAGGUAUACGAAUACCGACGAUCGAAUCUCGGGCAAGUAACAUACCGAAGGACAAAGGGAAUGACACACGGGAUUAUAUGAAUCCUUGGAACUGAGGUUCAACCGAUAAGAUCUUCGGAGAAUAUGUAGGAUCCAAUAUGGGUAUCCAGUUCCCGCUAUUGGAUAUUGACCGAGGAGUGUCUCGGGUCAUGUCUACAUAGUUCUCGAACCCGCAGGGUCUGCACACUUAAGGUUCGAUGAUGUUUUAGUAUAGUUGAGUUAUAUGUGUCGUUAUCAAAUGUUGUUCGGAGUCCCGGAUGAGAUCACAGACGUCACGACAGUUUCUGUAAUGGUCCAGAAAUGAAGAUUGAUAUAUAGGAUGGUUUCAUUUGGUCACCGGAAGGUUUCGGGCAUUUCCGGCAGUGUACCGGGAGUGACGAAUGGGUUCCGGGUAUUCACCGGGAGGGGCCCACCCACCCGGGAGUGAGUCCAGUGACCCUAGGGUGGCGCACCAGCCCCUAGUGGGCUGGUGAGGGCAGCCCAAUAGGGCCAUGGCGCCACAAGGGAAAAAUACCAAAGGAAAAAAAAGGAAAGAGGGAGAUGGGAAGGGAGAGGAGGACUCCUCCUUCCCCAAACCGAAUUGGAGAAGGAGUCCUCCCUCCCAAGGCUAGCCCCUCCCAUCCUCCUAUAUAUACUGGUGGUUUUAGGGGUUUUGAGACACAACUUUGUCACGUGCAACUCAAACCUAUACCACGUAGUUUUUCCUCUAGAUCGGAUUUCUACAGAGCUCGGGCAGAGCCCUGCAGGAGUAGAUCAUCACCACCACCGGAGCUCCGUCACGCUGCCGGAGAACCCAUCUACUACUCCGUCUCUCUUGCUGGAUCAAUAAGACCGAGAUCGUCAUCGAGCUGUACGUGUGCUGAAUGUGAAGGUGUUGUCCGUUCGGCGGUAGAUCGGAACCGAUCGUGGGACGACGGUGAUUUGAAUCAAGAAGUUGUACCACUACAUCAACCGCGUUUCUUAACGCUUCACGCUUAGCGAUCUACAAGGGUACGUAGAUCUAAUCUCCUCUCGUAGAUGGACAUCACCAUGGUAGGUCUUCGUGUGCGUAGGAAAUUUUUUGUUUUCCAUGCAACGUUCCCCAACACGGGGUAUGGGUGUGUGGCGGGGGGGGGGAGGAAGGCCAUGACAACACCUCCAAGAAAGAAACGACGCCAACAUGCAUGACUUUAUUUCUGCACAAGUAACUACCGCAUUAGGAUUUCUUUGUGACAGCCUGAUGCCGACGUUCCAGAAGAUUCCCCUUUUCCUUUCCGUUUCCGUCGUGUGGGUAUUUUUACUUGUUGCAUCAUCAUGUAGUUGCAUCAUCGCAUCAUGCAUGGCAUCUUGCAUCGUCUGUCACGUGUGGUGUUUUGAGUGUUGUGCUUCGAGUGAUCACCGAGUCGUAGUGCGAUAGUAGCUCCCCCUCUCUCCUCUUAUUUCAUUUUCUGGUUUUGCUAAAGUUCUGUUUUAACCCCUAUUUUUAAAAAUAAAGAUUCGUCUUCUUUUAAAGAAAAUUCCUUUUAUUAGAUGUGGGACAACCCCUUGGGUUUCCUUCAAUUCUCCUUUUGUCUAUUUUCAAAAUAGAGUCUCAUUUUUUUUAUUUAUAAAAGGGGUUUUAUUUUAUUCUUUAAAAAAAGGGUUUAACCUAGCCCAGAGCCUCCCCGCGACUCCCUCUUCCUCGUCUCGACAGCGCCGCCGUUCGCGCACCAGAGGCGAGCGAGAGCCCCGCUCCCGAGGCUCGUCCCGUGCUUUCCGUGCCCAGCGCCUGUACGACCCCGCCGCCUCCAGGAGCCCCGGCCGCCAUCGUUGACCUCCGAGACAGCCCCGUCGGCCCUCUCCUUCUUGUGCCCCCUCCCCGUUCUUCCUCUCCCUCUCCCUAAUUUUCUCUCUGUCUCCAGGCCCAGGCAACCAUGGCGCUAGCUGCAGAGCCGACCUGUCGCGCGUGCCUCGCCUCUUCAGACGGAGCUCCAAGGCAACGGAUCCGCACCGCCAUGCCGGAAUUCGCCCGUCCCCGACCUCAAUCAUGGUGCAGCGCGCUUCCUCCACCUCGCCUUGCUGGAGGUGCCUCGCGUUGCCUCCUCCUCCUCCUAUUCCCGUAAAUCUCUCUCCCUCUCCCUAAAACUCGUUUUCCCUCUCCUAUCUCCCAGGUGGCGCAACGCUAGGGGAGCUCGAAGACCCCUCGCAGGUUGCUCUCGUCGUUCUGGAGCUGCCGACCCCAGCUCACCUCGCCCCGGGCCGCAGGACCUAGGAGGACCGGAUCCGGGCGGCCUCGGCCAGAGGAAGCCGUCACAUAACCUUCCCCCGCCGGCCCUCCGCUACCAGCAGCAGCUACCGUUGACCUCCCGUCGCGGCCAGGUUCUUCCUCGGUGCUGGAUCGAUGGUGAGUAGGCCUGGCAGUGGAGUAGCUUAGAAUAAUUAGCCCCCCCCGUUUAGCAUAAGCUCUUGUACCAGCGCAGUGGUUAGCGCCCUUGUAUCCAGCCGGGAGGUCUCGGGUUCGAAUCCCAGACAACCCUAUUUUUCCUUCUGUUAUAUUAUUUGGUGCAGGUUAGCUCCUUACAUAGGUUUUUAGCAAGUGUUUUGUCACAAAAUCUUUGUAGCCAGUUGGUCAAUGAGCAGCGCUAGCACCAGGGAGGUCGUGUGUUCGAAUCCAGGAUGCUCCAAUAUUUUUGCUUGUUUUUGACUAGGCCACUUGUUGCACACUCAACCCCUCGGGUAAUUCACGUCUUGCUUCGUUGUAUGUGUUGCGUUGUUGACCAUUUCGUAGAUGCCAUGUUAGUUGCACGUACCACAUAUUUAUGCCUCCGGCACAUGGGAACCCGAUAACCGGGAUCACUCCAUCAUCCUUUGGCAUGACACGCACACGCUCACAAUUCGUUGGCACCGAUACCUCUUCUAGUUAUCGGGACUGAAACGUUGUCGUGGCUUCGUUUCCGUCUUGCCGCCAUGGUCCCCUUUCGCUCGCCUUGGCGACAUAUGCUUCUUUCCCUUCUUGUCGUGAUGUUGUAACUUGCAUUCAUAACACAUUCAUGGCAUAUAAUCUUGUGCUGCAUGUUCUUGUGCCGUAGCUCCGUUCUUUGUUCCGUGUGUUAACCAUCUAGGAUGCCAUGUAGGAUCAUCGCUACACCCUUGCCAUGUUAACAACAAUUAAAUAUGGCGGUGUAAAUAAUCAAGAGUGAAUUAAAUAAUUAAUCGCGGAGUUUCGUCGAUAUGUAACUCGUUGCAUAUCGAGCUUCACUUAAUGUGUAGUGUUUGCGUGAGGUGAAUUGCCAUGCCAUCCCUUGCAUCUUUGAACUGAUCAUGCAUCAUACUAGGUUGUGCAUCAUGUUGUGCUUCAUGUGGUGAAUAUUUGUGUUGAUGUUUGUUUCCGGUUUGCUCCGUCUCGAUAGAGUUCCGCAAGCGUGUCGGAAUGUGAGGACCCGUUCGACCACGUUGGUUCGUCUGCUUCACCGAGUUGUUCUUCUUCCAAGCGGGAUCUCAGGCAAGAUGAUCAUUUCCCUAGAUACCAUUACUAUCAUUGCCAUGCUAGUUUUACCGUUUAUAUCGAUUAUGUCUCGUUGCCUACCACCUGUUAAAUAUCAGCCUCUCAACAAUGCCAUGAAAACCUUCAACCUGUUCAACCUAGCAAACCACUGAUUGGCUAUGUUACUUCUUGCUUAACCCUGUGUUAGCGUUGCUAGUUGCAGGUGCAGUUGCUUCCAUGUGAAGACAUGGGUUCCUUGUUAUAUCAUCCUAUUUAAUGCUAUUUAAUUUUAAUGCACCUAUAUACUUGGUAAAACGUGGAAGGCUCGGCCUUUCUAGCCUGGUGUUUUAUUCCACCUUUGCCCCCUUAGUUUCCGGCUACCGGUGUUAUGUUCCAUAAAUGAGGGCUCCUAACACGAUCGGGGUUGUUAUGGGGACCCCCUUGAUAAUUCGUUUUAUAUUAAAGCUGGUCUGGCAAGGCCCAACUUUGGUACUACAUUUGCCUAAACACCUAAUAAAAUUGCAUAGGGACUUUCCGGACCCCGAGGAUAAUUUAAUCAACCCCCGGGCCAGUGCUCCUCAUGAGUGUUGGCCCCACCUGAGCGAUGUCCGGCGCCCCUCUGGUCACCCGGAGGUUUAGCGAUCCCGACGUCUAGCUCAUCCGCGGUGUCCUGAGAACGAGGUACGCGACUCCUAUCGGGAUCGUCGACACGUCGGGCGGACUUGCUGGAUUAGUUUUACCUUUGACGAGAUAUCUUGUGCAUCGGGAUUCCGGUGAUGCUUUGGGUAAUCUCAGAGUUGAGGUUUUCCACUAGGGAAUCCGACGAGAUCGCGAGCUUCGUGAUUGAGGAUUUCUAUGCGGCUUGUGGUAAUUUGUGAUGGACUAGUUGGAGCAUCCUUGCAGGGUUAAAUCUUUCGGAAAGCCGUGCCCGCGGUUAUGUGGCAACGUGGAAACUUUGUUUAACACUGGUUCUAGAUAACUUGAAGUUAACUUAAUUAAAAACUUGCCAACUGUGUGCGUAACCGUGACUGUCUCUUUCGUGACUUCCUUCUCCGAUCAAGGACACGGUGUGGUUAUGUCUGACGUAGGUAGGUGUUCAGGAUCAUUCUUUUGAUCAUGAGUAGUUCACGUCCGUUAUGCGUAGAUCUUCCCCCUCUUAUUUCUUGUACUCGUAAGUUAACCACCAAAUAUAUGCUUAGCCGCUGCUGCAACCUCACCACUUAACCAUACCUCACCCAUUAAGCUUUGCUAGUCUUGAUACCUUUGGAAGUGAGAUUGUUGAGUCCCCUGUGGCUCACAGAUUACUACAACACCAGUUGCAGGUACAGGUAAAGGUUACUUGACGCAAGCGCAUUGAUUCUUCAUUUGGAGUUGCUUCUUCUUCUUCUUCAUCAUCGAUCUAGGAUGGGUUCCAGGCCGGCAGCCUGGGAUAGCAAUGAUGGACGUCGUUCUUAUUUUCUCGUUUGUUUUCGUCCAUAGUCGGACCCUGCUCUUACUCUUGAUGAUUAUGUAAUGUACUGUUGUGACUCUGAUGUAGCUUGUGGCGAGUGUAAGCAAACUCUGUUAUAUACCUCUUCUUUUCAGUACAUGUACUUGUAACGAUAUCCAUUCUUGCGACACGACGAGAUGCGCUUCUAUCGCUGACGAGGCUCUCGUGCCAAAUUGAGGAUAGGGUCGCAUCUUGGACGUGACAUUCUUUCCGAGCAAGUCUAUCGGCCCGUGAAGACCAUGAGAGCAUGGAAGACUGGAGCGGAAGAAACAAGUGGACAAUUUGGACCACUUUGGAGGCCUGCCACACUGUAUGCGAGCUUCACGCCGAAAACCUAACACGUGAAGGUCAUCGACCAUUGGGGAGAGAAUCUUGUUAUCACACCUUCCCAUGAAGGCGAUGAGAAGGGAUGGAGGAGAGAGUCUGUGUUGUAAUGACUGGGGUCGCCUCUCAAAGAAGUUUCUUUCAUCUUCGGCAAAUUUUUCUUCAAACUAAAGUUGAUGUCUAACCUAGACGACUAGUGCAAAUUCUUCCCUCCUAACUUCACCAGCGAAUAUGUGGAUUCACCUCCCUUGUGUCUGCUGUUUCGGUGACCAGUGACGUGGAGGGAAUCUCGGUUCCUCGACUCCGGGUAGUAGUUUAUGUUUUUUUUUAAUCCUUGUAGGUGCGACGCUUCCUCUUUGAGUUUGUCUUUUGGGUUUCGAUCCUCCUCGAGUUCGUUUGUCUAGACGAAGCUCCCACAUAGAUUUUUGUCGUCUCUUUGGAGCAGUGGGGUUAGGGUUUCUCUUCAUUUCGGGAUCUGCAGCCAAGUUCUUCAAAUCUAUGCGAGGCUUCAGUAAUGACUGUUGUCGUUCCAGGACGCUGGUCCUUAGGGAUACGUGCACAAAUACUUUUUGGAAGUCAUCGACAAGGUCAAGCCCGCUCGUAUAGGGGAGCCGCGCUUGUUUUGGCCUUGAAAUCUUGAUUUAUUUUUUAUUAUAUUUGAGAUGCUUUGCACAUGCAGUGAGCUUUUAUAAUAUAUAUAUCCGGUUUUCUUAAAAGGAACCGAAAUCGAUGUGGUACAUUGUACUGUAUCUACCUCUAACGACGUGUACGCACGCCUCCGAUGGUAAGUUGAUCCAGUGUUCAAGCGUGCAUAUCUCACGCCAUGACGGUGAAACAUUCAUACGUCUAGGAGCUACGAAUCUCGCGCGUGUGCGUGGCAGGAGCAUGUGGCAUUUGUUCCGCAAGAACGAAAUGAUUCGCCUCGCCUGACCCCUGCCCCGGUCCGGCCCCUGAUCGGCCGGUAGCCUUUGUAGCAUAGCCGAAAUGGAAUGCGCCGGAGCUAUCCCGUAUAAUAAUACCACUAGUACGUUAAUCUGGAUUCUUGGUCGCCAAUCGGCGAUCUGAUGAUUGCACAUGCGCGGGGGCCGUGUUCCAACCGCUGAUUCGGACCCUGUAGCAUAUUUACAGGAGGAGAUCGCGGCGCCGGCGGCUACGAACCGCGAACGCCGUGCGGCCCUAUCACCCGAUCGGUUGGAGAUGCGCACGAUGGUUCCCCGAGCCCGCCGAUGGAGGUAUCGCCGCGUCAUUGGUGUGGUGUCGAUCGAUUUGGUAGGAGGAUUAGUUUAGCCUGAGCGACUCCUAUCACCGGCCCGGUAUUUGUCGCAUGUCCCCGUCCCCGUCCCCGUCCCCGUCCCCGGUGUCCCUUUCACGUCGGGUACGUACGUGCAGGAGAGUGGACUUGGCGGGGCACCGUAGCAGCAGCUAGCUCGACCGCGAGCAGGUGGAUGAGGAGUGGUUCGGGGUCUUUUGUUCGCUUUGGGCCGGUCUGGAGUUUUGGAGCGUCUUCUACGGCGAUCUCCACUUGCGUGCCUGCUCUCCGUGCGCGUCGCUGGUAAAGACAACCGCUAAAAGCGCAUCUUCGCAUCGCUUAUGUGGAGGCUUGUGCCGUUGGAUCCAUCGAUCGAUCUUAUGGAGCAAAGUAUGAUCGCGUACAAUAUACUAACGGAUGUUGGCUUGGAUCCCAGUGCCCGUAAAAACACCCGCGGACGCGGACACGACGCGAACACUCAUUGAUAAUGUCUAAAUAAUCCAUUAUAUAAUGGGAAAAGAUUCAGAUCAUCCGGCUGAUUAUUUAGCUCUCAUCCGCCGCUUUGCUCAUGCAAUACGUGGUCAACCUGACGUGAUGCUCCUAGCUUAUUCAAACUCAACCACCCCUCAUCAUCUUUGGUGUUCCCAGAAAUAUCUCCACCUCACACCUUCUCCUAUCUUAUCCUUUUCUUUUUCACCUCACGCAUGCCAUGUCCGCAUCGAGCUGCUCACUGCGCCGCGGGACAAGUGAAGCAGAAUAGGGCUAGACCAAGCCUGUCCCUUCAACGCAACCUCGGGCUGCUGUGAGCUCGGCUCUCCGCGCCAUGGAAUCUCCUUCAGGACCAUGUCGGCGGCCGGGGAGGACCACCAACAACAGCUAGGGAGACCGCUCUCACACGUCUCGGUUUUCGUCUUGACCAGAUCUGCAACGGUCCCUCAUGCCCCGCCGUGGUGUGCCGCCGCCGGCCGAUCCUGCCGCCACCGGAGCCCCCAGCUAUCGCCAUCGCGUUCCUGCUGCCGGCCGACCCGCGUCGGCCCUGCCCCCCGUGCCAGACCGGAUCUGGAUCGAUCCCUCUGCCAGCCAUGGGGCUUGGGAAUCAAGCAUGGCCGCCAUGGUUGUGCGUCUGAAGGAAGAAGAUGAAGUUUCUGCAACAUGAACUUUUGCUGCAAAAAUUUACUCACAGCAAUACUUAUGUUGCGGAAAGACGAAGGAAAAAACUGCAACAAAGCGAUUGUUUCAGAAACUUAAACGUUGUUUCAGGAAUUACCCCGUGCCCUCGAAGCGCGCGCGAAGAAAAAAACUGCAACAAAGCGAUCGUUUCAUAAACUCGAGCGUUGUUUCAGGAAUUACGCCCAGCUGAAGCGCGCGCGAAGAAAAAAAAUCUACAACAAAGCGAUUGUUUCAGAAACUCAAGCGUUGUUUUAGAAAUUACUGGGUGCCCAGCCGAAGCGCGUGCGAAGAAAAAAAAACUACGACAAAGCGAUUGUUUCAGAAACUCAAGCAUCGUUUCAGGAAUUAGGCCAAAGCCCCGCGUGCGGAUCGGAUGGAUGAGAUCGGCUGGAUGCACCAAAUCAAACGGGUGUGAAGGUGACGGAUCGUUGAAAAUAAUCCGUCGAUGGAUGCGUAGCGUUGCCCUUAUAUAAUUGGACAUCUUAAAUUAAAAAUAUUAAAUUCAUAUUAUUACAUGCAACUAAAUCUAAUACUAACCGGAGCUCGUUCGGCUCUACCGUGUUCAUGUCCAGCGACUGUCUGCGCCCUUCGCAGAGUCGGUCCGGUCGUUGGUGUGGUAGAGUAGGGCAUGGGACACUAGCCGGCUUACGGAAAUCGAGCUCUCGCCGUCUGCCGUGAUCUAUUCUUCCUCGUCGGAGCCCAUGACCCGGACGGUGCCGGUGAACAUUAGAUCAAUGACGGAUCCUAUUUGGGAGGAGACGAUAUCGAUCACGACGCGGUUGUGACGCCCGCACCUAUGCAUUAUACGGGGUGCCGAAGAGUGCGACUCCGCCUCUCAAACCUCCACCAUUGGUAGGGUCUCUGCCGCCUCCCGCGCCCGCUGCCUCGCACGGCGGGCCUGCAAGGCCAUGUUAGUGUCUCAGCACACCCAAUGUGCAUCGCCGGCGCGCCAACCGGGUGGGAGGGGGGGGGCCGUUCGGACGCAAGACGAACCACACCGCCUCCAGUGAGUCAGCUGUAGGAUCGAAAGUAUAUCUAGAGGGGGGGUGAUUAGACUACUUGACAAAAUAAAAACUUAGUUUUUCCAAAUUUUAGUUGUGGGACAGUUUUUAGCAAUUAUGACUAGUCAAGUUCACCCUACACAUGAACAUCUAAGAAAAUAAUACAUCCAAAUAUAACAUAGAGGGUAAGGUAAGAAGGUCAAACACAAGGGUUGGCACGACGAUUUUUGGCAUGGUUUCGAUACGUGGUGCUAUCGUACGUCCAUGUUAGUGGAGACUUCAACCCACGAAGGGUAACGGCUGCGAGAGUCCACGGAGGGCUCCACCCACAAGGGGUCCACGAAGAAGCGGUCUUGUCUAUUCCACCACGGCUUCCGUUCACAUAGGACUAGCCUCACUCACGGUAGAUCUUCACGAAGUAGGCGAUCUCCUUGCCCUUACAAACUUCUUGAUUCAACUCCACUACACGAAGUAGCACGCUCCCAAGCGUCACCUAUCCAAUCUAGGAGGUACCACCCUCCAAAAGGUAAUAGAUGAUGUAGAACGAUGAAUUCCUUGCUCUUGUGCUUCAAAAGAUAGUCUCCACAACACUCAAUCACUCUCUCACAUAUUUGGCAUGGGUAGGAGAGAUUGAUAUUGCGGAAAGCAACUUGGGGAGGCUAGAGAUCAAGUUUCAAAUGGUUGGAUUGGAAUCUCUUGAUCUCAACACAUGAGUAGUUGGCUCUCUCUCGGAAAUAUGGAUCUGGCAAGUGUAAGUGUGUUCUGAGUGCUUCCUCUACGAAUGAGAGGAGGUGAAGGGGUAUAUAUAGGCAUCUCUCAAAAUCCAACCAUUACAACAUUAUUGCUCAACUCGGUGACACCGAAAUGAAUCUUGAUGGUACUGAGUUGCAUUAAAUGUGGCAACUUUUGAAUUCUCGGUGAGACCGAAUUAUGAAUUUGGUGGUACAGAUACGAUGACCUAGACCAGUUUCCAAAUCUAGAUGAGAACAGACGUAUAGAUUUAUAUAUAGAAAGUGGUAUUCGGGUUUCGGAAUAGUUUUGGGGAUUUCCUGUAUUGUAUCGGAAGUACCGAAAGGGUUCCGGGGGUCCAUCGGGAGGGUCCCACCCACCCCGGGGGGGCACAUGGGCCUAGGAGGUGGCGCACCAGCCCCUGGUGGGCUUGGGCAGCCAACCCCAAGAGGCCCAUGCACCAAGACUUGAUGGAGGAGGUGGAGGAGGUGUCCUCCCAAGGGUGUCCACCUCCCUUGUGGGAGGUGGACUCUCCCCCCACUUCGGCCGAACCCCUCCUCCUUGGAGGUUUUGAGGGCAGCCACCACCUAAAAAGCCAUGUGCUGCCCGAUCCUUCAUAGAUCGUCUUCUUCGUCUAGAUUAAUUCGGUAGAGCUCGACGAAGCCCUGCCAGAUUAGUUCACCACCACCGCCACCACGCCGUCAUGCUGCCGGAGAACUCAUCUACCUCUUCGCCCCCUCGUGCUGGAUCAAGAAGGCGGAGAUCGUCAUCAAGCUAUACAUGUGCUGAACGCGGAGGUGCCAUCCGUUCGGCACUAGAUCGUGAUUGGAUCGCGGGACGGCUUGCGAUUUGGAUCGGGAAGACGUUCAACUACAUCAACCAUGUUUCUUAACGCUUCCCGCUUAGCGAUCUACAAGGGUGUGUGGAUCCGAUCUCUCCUCUUGUAGAUGGUCAUCACCACGGAUAUAUCUUGUAUGUGCAUAGAUUUUUUUUCAUGCAACGUCCCCAACAAACGGCACCAACUGCGAGAUCCCACACCCGUCAUGUGGGUGAUGCACACGCGUACAGAAGGACGACAGAGGCCGCGCAAGCCGGCGCGGACAUGAAGGAUUUCCUCUCCGAUGAUUAAAGUGCAGUGCUCGCAGCCCCUUCAAAAGCACGUUACCAUAGCUUGCCAUUUCGGUGAAAAAGGAUAACGACGGAUCAGCGCGGCAGGAGGAGGCCAUCGCUAAUUCCACAAACGCGUCACGAAGACUACUUUAGGAGGCGGAGACCUUCUUUUGUGAGGAUUAGACUGAACUCCUACCCCCAUUGAAUUGUCGCCUCUGUACACCCUUUCCCGCUCAUGUUUUCGGGGAAGAGGACCAAAGCACUACAAGAGGGGACGGGGUGCUUCCAUGUAAGGGGAUUGAGCCACCCCCUAUCUCGUGUACUUGAGCUAUAAUCUCUCCGCCACAGAGCAAUCCAAUAUAUACAUGAGUAGGGGUUUACACCACAGGUGAUCCGAACCUGGGUAGCUCGCGCGUCUCCGUAGUCCCUAAGGAGAACGAGUGAGUUUGCCACUAAUCUUACUGUGUUCACCGUCGUGUUGCGGGUUACCAAGCUAAAUUCUCGAGAUUUCGAACCCUAGUUCUUGAACACAGAUCCCACACUCCGACAACCUUCACAUGUGUGAAACUGACUGUAAUUCAGGUUGAGUCACAUCUUUAAUAUAAUUGGCCGUCACCUGCAAAAAAACAUUUUCAAUGCUUUGGGUACAUCUUAUUUCAACAUAAAUGGAUGAAGGAAGAAUGCUUAAACACAAGUAAAUUGCAAGAAAUGUAUAUGUAGCACAGUGUGAACUUUAUUGCUAAUUCCAUCGGAAGAAUGUACAUGGAGCCAUCAAGAGAGAGGAAGACACACAUCGUAGAAAUCACAAUCACUCUGACACUGUCAUUGUCUGCUUAUACAAAUUACAAUAUUUUACAUGUAUCAUGUUGUAUUGUGUCCUAAUGGUGCCCCUUUUUGGAUUCAAUCGGCCAAAUCUAAGCCCUGAUUAAACCCAAAAAACUCUAAAGAAAGAAAAGAAUGGAGUUAACUCCCCGGCAACGGCGCCAGAAAUUCUUCUUGCUACUUCUUGAGCUUGCGUUGGUUUUUCCCUUCAAGAGGAAAGGGUGAUUCAACAAAGUAGAAAUAAGUAUUUCCCUCAGUUUGAGAACAAAGGUAUCAAUCCAGUAGGAGUAUCAAGAUGAGGCACCAAUGAACAUGCACAAAGACAAACAAACUUGCACUCAACGCGAUAAAGGGGUUGUCAAUCCCUUCAUGAUUACUUGCAAGGUGAGAUCUGAUAGUGAUGAAAGGUAAAUGUAAAUAAAAGUGCAGCAAGGUACUUUUGGUAUUUUUGUAUGUAGAUCUGAAUAUAUGAUGUGUAAAAUAGACCCGGGGCCAUAUGUUCACUAGAGGCUUCUCUCAUGAUAGCAAGUAUUACGGUGGGUGAACGAAUAACUGUCGAGCAAUUGAUAGAAUCGCGCAAAGUCAUGACAAUAUCUAAGGCAAUGAUCAUACAUAUAGGAAUCACGUUCGAGACAAGUAGACCGAUACUUUCUGCAUCUACUACUAUUACUCCACAUAUCGACCGCUAUCCAGCAUGCAUCUAGUGUACUAAGUUCAUAACAAACGGAGUAACGCCUUAAGCAAGAUGACAUGAUGUAGAGGGAUAAAUUCAUGUAAUAUGAUAUAAACCCCACCUUUUUACCCUUGAUGGCAACAACAUGAUGCGUGCCUCGCUACCCCUUCUUUCACUAGGUGAGGACACCGCACGGUAUGAACCCAAAACCAAGCACUUCUACCAUUGCAAGAAUUAUAGAUCAAGUUGGCCAAACGAAACCCAUAACUCGAAGACAAUCGCAAGGAUACGAAAUCAUGCAUAUAAGAAAUCAGAGGAGACUCAAAUAAUAUUCAUAGAUAAUCUGAUCAUAAAUCCACAAUUCAUCGGAUCUCGACAAACACACCGCAAAAUAUGUUGGGGAACGUCGCAUGGGAAACAAAAAAUUUCCUACGCGCACAAAGACCUAUCAUGGUGAUGUCCAUCUACGAGAGGGGAUUUCCGAUCUACGUACCCCUGUAGAUCGUACAGCAGAAGCGUUAAGAAACGCGGUUGAUGUAGUGGAACGUCCUCACGUCCCUCGAUCCGCCCCACGAACCGUCCCGCGAUCCGUCCCACGAUCUAGUGCCGAACGGACGGCACCUCCGCGUUCAACACACGUACAGCUCGACGAUGAUCUCGGCCUUCUUGAUCCAGCAAGAGAGACGGAGAGGUAGAUGAGUUCUCCGACAGCGUGACAGCGCUCCGGAGGUUGGUGGUGAUCUAAUCUCAGCAGGGCUCCGCCCGAGCUCCGCAGAAACGCGAUCUAGAGGUAAAACCGUGGAGGUAUGUGGUCGGGCAGCCGUGGCAAAAGUCGUCUCAAAUCAGCCCUAAUAGCUCCAUAUAUAUAGGAGGAGGGGAGGGGAGGCUUGCCUUGAGGCUCAAGGAGCCCCAAGGGAUGCGCCACCAAGGGAGGAGGAGUCCUCCUCCAAUCCUAGUCCAACUAGGAUUGGAAGGUGGAGUCCUUCUCUUCUUUCCCACAUCCUUUUUUUUUCUUUUCUCUUUGAUUUUCUAUCUAUGGCGCAUAGGGCCUUCUUGGGCUGUCCGACCAGCCCACCAAGGGCUGGUGCACCACCCCCAAGGCCUAUGGACUUCCCCGGGGUGGGCUGCCCCCCCCCCCCGGUGAACACCCGGAACCCAUUCGUCAUUCCCGGUACAUUCCCGGUAACUCCGAAAACCUUCCGGUAAUCAAAUGAGGUCAUCCUAUAUAUCAAUCUUCGUUUCCGGACCAUUCCGGAAACCCUCGUGACGUCCGUGAUCUCAUCCGGGACUCCGAACAACAUUCAGUAACCAACCAUAUAAUUCAAAUACGCAUAAAACAAUGUCGAACCUUAAGUGUGCAGACCCUGCGGGUUCGAGAACUAUGUAGACAUGACCCGAGUGACUCAUCGGUCAAUAUCCAAUAGCGGGACCUGGAUGCCCAUAUUGGAUCCCACAUAUUCUACGGAGAUCUUAUCGUCUGAACCUCACUGUCAAGGAUUAAUAUAAUCCCGUAUGUCAUUCCCUUUGUCCUUCGGUAUGUUACUUGCCCGAGAUUCGAUCGUCAGUAUCCCCAUACCUAUUUCAAUCUCGUUUACCGGCAAGUCUGUUUACUCGUUCCGUAAUACAAGAUCCCGCAACUUACACUAAAUUACAUUGCUUGCAAGGCUUGUGUGUGAUGUUGUAUUAUCGAGUGGGCCCCAAGAUACCUCUCCGUCAUACGGAGUGACAAAUCUCAGUGUCGAUCCAUACUAACUCAACGGACACCUUCAGAGAUACCUAUAGAGCAUCUUUAUAGUCACCCAGUUACGUUGCGACGUUUGAUACACAAAAAGCAUUCCUCCGGUGUCAGUGAGUUAUAUGAUCUCAUGAUCAUAGGAACAAAUACUUCACACAUAGAAAACAGUAGCAACAAAAUGACACGAUCGACAUGCUACGUCUAUUAGUUUGGGUCUAGUCCAUCACAUGAUUCUCCUAAUGACGUGAUCCAGUUAUCAAACAACAACACCUUGUACAUAGUCAGAAGUCCCUAACUAUCUUUGAUCAACUGGCUAGCCAACUAGAGGCUUGCUAGGGACAGUGUUUUGUCUAUGUAUCCACACAUGUAAAUGAGUCUUCAUUCAAUACAAUUAUAGCAUGGAUAAUAAACGAUUAUGUUGAUACAGGAAUUAUAAUAAUAACUAUAUUUAUUAUUGCCUCUAGGGCAUAAUUCCAACAGUCUCCCACUUGCACUAGAGUCAAUAAUCUAGCCCUCACAUCAUCAUGCGAAUUACAUUGUAAUAAAUCUAACACCCAUACAGUUCUGGUGUUGAUCAUGCUUUCGCCGUGGAAGAGGUUUAGUCAGCGGGUCUGCUACAUUCAGAUCCGUGUGCACUUUGCAUAUAUUUACGUCCCCUCCUUCGACGUAGUCGCGGAUGAGGUUGAAGCGUCGUUUGAUGUGUCUGGACUUCUUGUGAAACCGUGGUUCCUUUGCUAAGGCAAUGGCACCCGUGUUGUCACAGAACAAGGUUAUUGGAUUCAGUGCGCUUGGCACCACUCCAAGAUCCGUCAUGAACUACUUCAUCCAGACACCCUCCUUAGCCGCCUCCGAGGCAGCCAUGUACUCCGCUUCACAUGUAGAAUCAGCUACGACGCUUUGCUUGGAACUGCACCAGCUUACCGCACCCCAUUAAGAAUAAAUACGUAUCCGGUUUGCGACUUAGAAUCGUCCGGAUCUGUGUCAAAGCUUGCAUCGACGUAACCUUUUACGGUGAGCUCUUCUUCACCUCCAUACACGAGAAACAUCUACUUAGUCCUUUUCAGGUACUUCAAGAUAUUCUUGACCGUUGUCCAGUGAUCCACUCCUAGAUUACUCUGGAACAUACCUGCCAUACUUAUGGCCAGGCUAACGUCCGGUCUAGUGCACAGCAUUGCAUACAUGAUAGAACCUAUGGCUGAAGCAUAGGGGACGGAGCGCAUAUGCUCUCUAUCUUCAUCAGUUGCCGGGCACUGAGUCUUACUCAAUCUCGUACCUUGUAUAACUGGCAAGAACCCCUUCUUGGACUGUUCCAUUUUGAACCUCUUCAAAACUUUAUCAAGGUAUGUGCUUUGUGAAAGUCCUAUCAGGCGUUUUGAUCUAUCCAUAUAGAUCUUAAUGCCUAGAAUGUAAGCAGCUUCUCCUAGGUCCUUCAUAGAGAAACUUUUAUUCAAGUAAUCCUUUAGGCUCUCCAAAAAGUCUACGUUGUUUCCAAUCAGCAAUAUGUCAUCCACAUAUAAUAUUAGAAACGCCACAGAGCUCCCACUCACUUUCUUGUAAAUACAAGAUUCUCCAACCACUUGUAUAAACCCAAAUGCUUUGAUCACCUCAUCAAAGCGUUUGUUCCAACUCCGAGAUGCUUGCACCAGUCCAUAAAUGGAUCGCUGGAGCUUGCACACCUUGUUAGCAUUCUUAGGAUCGACAAAACCUUCGGGUUGCAUCGUAUACAAUUCUUCCUUAAGGAAACCGUUAAGGAACGCCGUUUCGACAUCCAUCUGCCAGAUUUCAUAAUCGAAAAAUGCAGCUAUUGCUAACAUGAUUCUGACGGACUUAAGCAUCGCUACGGGUGAGAAUGUCUCAUCGUAGUCAACUCCUUGAACUUGUGAAAAACCCUUUGCCACAAGUCGAGCUUUAUAAACGGUCACAUUGCCGUCAGCGUCCGUCUUCCUCUUAAAGAUCCAUUUGUUCUGAAUAGCUUUGCGGCCCUCAGGCAGUACCUCCAAAGUCCACACUUUGUUCUCAUACAUGGAUCCUAUCUCGGACUUCAUGGCUUCUAGCCAUUUGUUGGAAUCUGGGCCCACCAUUGCUUCUUCAUAAUUUGCAGGUUCAUUGUUGUCCAACAACAUGAUUGAUAAGACGGGAUUACCGUACCACUCUGGAGCAGCACGUGGUCUCGUCGACCUGCGUGGUUCGACAGAAACUUGAACCGGAGUUUCAUGAUCAUCAUCAUUAACUUCCUCCUCAACCGGCGUCGCAACGACAGAGGUUUCCCCUUGCCCUGCGCCACCAUCCAGAGGGAUGAGAGGUUCGACAACCUCGUCAAGUUCUAUCUUUCUCCCACUCAAUUCUCUUGAGAGAAACUCCUUCUCGAGAAAAUCUCCGUUUUUAGCAACAAACACUUUGCCCUCGGAUUUGAGAUAGAAGGUGUACCCAACUGUCUCUUUCGGGUAACCUAUGAAGAUGCACUUUUCCGGUUUGGGUUCCAGCUUUUCAGGCUGAAGCUUUUUGACAUAAGCAUCACAUCCCCAAACUUUAAGAAACGACAACUUUGGCCUUUUGCCAUACCACAGUUCGUAUGGUGUCGUCUCAACGGAUUCGGAUGGCGCCCUAUUUAAAGUGAAUGCAGCUGUUUCUAAUGCAUAACCCCAAAACGAUAACGGCAAAUCGGUAAGAGACAUCAUAGAUCGCACCAUCUCUAAUAAAGUACGAUUACGACGUUCGGACACACCAUUACGCUGUGGUGUUCCAGGCGGUGUCAACUGUGAAACAAUUCCACAUUGUCUUAAGUGAGCACCAAACUCGAAACUCAGAUAUUCACCCCCACGAUCAGACCGUAGGAACUUGAUCUUCUUGUUACGAUGAUUUUCAACUUCACUCUGAAAUUGCUUGAACUUUUCAAAUGUUUCAGACUUGUGCUUCAUUAAGUAGACAUAACCAUAUCUACUCAAAUCUUCAGUGAAGGUGAGAAAAUAACGAUAUCCGCCGCGUGCCUCUACGCUCAUCGGACCACACACAUCGGUAUGUAUGAUUUCCAACAAGUCACUUGCACGCUCCAUUGUUCCAGAGAACGGAGUUUUAGUCAUCUUGCCCAUGAGGCAUGGUUCACACGUGUCAAGUGAAUCAAAGUCAAGUGACUCCAAAAGUCCAUCGGCAUGGAGUUUCUUCAUGCGCUUUACACCAAUAUGACCUAAGCGGCAGUGCCGCAAAAAUAUAGGCKCUAUCAUUGUUAACUCUAACUCUUUUGGUCUCAAUGUUAUGUAUGUGUGUAUCGCUAUCAAGAUUCAAUAUGAACAAUCCUCUCACAUUGGGUGCAUGACCAUAAAAGAUGUUACUCAUAGAAAUACAACAACCAUUAUUCUCUGACUUAAAAGAGUAACCGUCUCGCAAUAAACAAGAUCCAGAUAUAAUGUUCAUGCUCAACGCAGGCACUAAAUAACAAUGAUUCAAGUUCAUAACUAAUCCUGAUGGUAACUGAAGUGAAACUAUGCCAACGGCGAUUGCAUCAACCUUGGAACCAUUUCCUACGCGCAUCGUCACUUCAUCUUUCGCCAGCCUUCGUCUAUUCCGCAGUUCCUGUUUCGAGUUGCAAAUAUGAGCAACAGAACCGGUAUCGAAUACCCAGGCACUACUACGAGAGCCGGUUAAGUACACAUCAAUAACAUGUAUAUCAAAUAUACCUGAUUUUUCUUUGGCCGCCUUCUUAUCUGCCAUAUACUUGGGGCAAUUGCGCUUCCAGUGACCCAUACCCUUGCAAUAGUAACACUCUGUUUCAGGCUUAGGUCCAGCUUUGGGUUUAUUCGUCGGAUUGGCAACAGGCUUGCCGCUCUUCUUUGAAUUACCCUUCUUGCCUUUGCCGUUUCUCUUGAAACUAGUGGUCUUAUUCACCAUCAACACUUGAUGCUCUUUAUGGAGUUCAGACUCUGCGACUUUCAGCAUCGCAAACAACUCGCCGGGUGACUUGUUCAUCCCUUGCAUGUUGUAGUUCAACACAAAGCCUUUAUAGCUUGGCGGCAGUGAUUGAAGGAUUCUGUCAGUGAUAGCCUCUUGCGGGAGUUCAAUCCCCAGCUCAGCUAGAUGGUUUGAGUACCCAGACAUUUUGAGCACAUGUUCACUGACAGACGAGUUCUCCUCCAUCUUGCAAGCAUAGAAUUUAUCGGAGGUCUCAUACCUCUCGAUCCGGGCGUUCUUCUGAAAGAUAAACUUCAACUCCUGGAACAUCUCAAAUGCUCCAUGACGCUCAAAGCGACGUUGAAGUCCCGGUUCUAAGCCAUACAAGACUGCACAUUGAACUACUGAGUAGUCCUCCUUACGUGCUAACCAACCGUUCUUAACAUCCUGAUCAGCCAUAGUGGGUGGUUCAUCUCCUAGCGCAGCAUUAAGGACAUAAUCCUUCUUCCCAGCUUGUAAGAUUAGCUUAAGAUUACGAGCCGAGUCUACAAAGUUGCUUCCAUCAUCUUUCAACUUAGCUUUCUCUAGGAACGUAUUAAAAUUCAGGGUGACUGUCGCGUGAGCCAUGAUCUACAACACAAAUAUAUUCAAAAUGGACUUAGACUAUGUUCAAGAUAAUUAGAGUUUAACUUAAUCAAAUUAUUCGCUAAACUCCCACUGAAAAAGUACAUCUCUCUAGUCAUUUGAGUGGUUCAUGAUCCACUUACACUAGCUCAAGUCCGAUCAUCACGUGAGUUGAGUAUAGUUUCAGUGGUAAGCAUCCCUAUGCUAAUCAUAUCAUCUAUAUGAUUCAUGAUCGACCUUUCGGUCUCAUGUGUUCCAAGGCCAUGUAUGCACAUGCUAGGCUCGUCAAGCUUAACCCGACUGUUUCGCGUGCGCAACUGUUUUGCACCCGUUGUAUGUGAACGUUGAGUCUAUCACACCCAAUCAUCACGUGGUGUCUCGAAACGACGAACUGUAGCAACGGUGCACAGUCGGGGAGAACACAAUUUCGUCUUGAAAUUUUUAGUGAGAGAUCACCUCAUAAUGCUACCGUCGUUCUAAGCAAAAUAAGGUGCAUAAAAGGAUUAACAUCACAUGCAAUUCAUAAGUGACAUGAUAUGGCCAUCAUCACGUGCUUCUUGAUCUCCAUCACCAAAGCACCGACACGAUCUUCUUGUCACCGGCGCCACACCAUGAUCUCCAUCAACGUGUCGCCAUCGGGGUUGUCGUGCUACUCAUGCUAUUACUACUAAAGCUACAUCCUAGCAAAAUAGUAAACACAUCUGCAAGCACAAACAUUAGUAUAAAGACAACCCUAUGGCUCCUGCCAGUUGCCGUACCAUCGACGUGCAAGUCGAUAUUAUCUAUUACAACAUGAUCAUCUCAUACAUCCAAUAUAUCACAUCACAUCGUUGGCCAUAUCACAUCACAAGCAUACCCUGCAAAAACAAGUUAGACGUCCUCUAAUUUUGUUGUUGCAUGUUUUACGUGGUGACCAUGGGUAUCUAGUAGGAUCGCAUCUUACUUACGCAAACACCACAACGGAGAUAUAUGAGUUGCUAUUUAACCUCAUCCAAGGACCUCCUCGGUCAAAUUGAUUCAACUAAAGUUGGAGAAACUGACACUUGCCAGUCAUCUUUGAGCAACGGGGUUACUCGUAGCGAUGAAACCAGUCUCUCGUAAGCGUACGAGUAAUGUCGGUCCAAGCCGCUUCAAUCCAACAAUACCGCGGAAUCAAGAAAAGACUAAGGAGGGCAGCAAAACGCACAUCACCGCCCACAAAAACUUUUGUGUUCUACUCGAGAAGACAUCUACGCAUGUACCUAGCUCAUGAUGCCACUGUUGGGGAACGUCGCAUGGGAAACAAAAAAUUUCCUACGCGCACGAAGACCUAUCAUGGUGAUGUCCAUCUACGAGAGGGGAUGUGUGUGUUGGAAAUAUGCCCUAGAGGCAAUAAUAAAAUGGUUAUUAUCAUAUUUCCUUGUUCAUGAUAAUCGUCUAUUGUUCAUGCUAUAAUUGUAUUAACACGAAACAGUAAUACAUGUGUGAAUAAAUAGAUCACAAUGUGUCCCUAGCAAGACUAUAGUUGGCUAGCUCGUUAGUCAAUAGAUGAUCAUGGUUUCCUGAUCAUGGGCAUUAGAUGUCAUUGAUAACGGGAUCACAUCGUUGGGAGAAUGAUGUGAUGGACAAGACCCAAUCCUAAGCCUAGCACUAGAUCGUAUUGUUCGUAUGCUAAUACUUUUCUAAUGUCAAGUAUCUUUUCCUUCGACCGUGAGAUUGUGCAACUCCCGGAUACCGUAGGAGUGCUUUGGGUGUAUCAAACGUCACAACGUAACUGGGUGAGUAUAAAGGUGCACUACGGGUACCUCCGAAAGUAUCUGUUGGGUUGGUACGAAUCGAGAUCGGGAUUUGUCACUCCGUAUGACGGAGAGGUAUCUCUGGGCCCACUCGGUAGAACAUCAUCAUGAGCUCAAUGUGACUAAGGAGUUAGUCACACGAUGACGUGCUAUGGAACGAGUAAAGAGACUUACCGGUAACGAGAUUGAACAAGGUAUAGGUAUACCGACGAUCGAAUCUCGGGCAAGUUCUAUACCGACAGACAAAGGGAAUCGUGUACGUGAUUGAUUGAAUCCUCGACAUCGUGGUUCAUACGAUGAGAUCACCGUGGAGCAAGUGGGAGCCACCAUGGGUAUGCAGACCCCGCUGAUGGUUAUUGGCCAGAGAGGUGUCUCGGUCAUGUCUGCCUGUCUCCCGAACCCGUAGGGUCAAUACACUUAAGGUUCGAUGACGCUAGGGUUAUAGGGAAUUGUCAUACGAGGUUACCGAAAGUUGUUCGGAGUCCCGGAUGAGAUCCCGGACGUCACGAGGAGCUCUAGAAUGGUCUGGAGGUAAAGAUUGAUAUAUAGGACGGAUGGUUUCGGAUACCGGGAGUGUUUCGGGCAUCACCGGUAACGUACCGGGACCACCGGGACCACCGGAGGUGGCCCCGGGGGACCACCAAAGGGGGGCAACGACCCCGGGAGAUAAGGUGGGCCAAGUGGGGGUGGGAACCAGCCCCUAGGUGGGCUGGUGCGCCUCCCCACUCAGCCCAUAGCGCAAGGGAGAGAAAGGGGGGCAAACCCUAGGCCAGGUGGGCCUAAGGCCCACCAGAUGGUGCGCCACCCCCUCCUCCCCCUUCUGGCCGCCGCACCUCCCAUCCGGGGGGGCUGCCGCACCCCCCUAGGGUGGGAACCCUACGGGUGGCACCCCCUCUCCCCAUCCCCUAUAUAUAUCGGGCACUUUUGGCCAUUGAGACACACGGUUUUUUCCCUCUCUCUCGGCGCAGCCCUGUUCUCCUUCCUCCUCCUCUCCGCCGGUGCUUGGCGAAGCCCUGCCGGGAGACCUCGUCUCUCCAUCGACACCAUGCCGUCAUGUUUCUGGAGUUCUUCCCCAACCUCUCCCUCCUCCUUGCUGGAUCAAGGUGUGGGAGACGUCACCGGGCUACACGUGUGUUGAACGCGGAGGUGCCGUUGUUCGGCACUAGAUCGGAAUCGCUACGAAUACGACUCCAUCAACCGCGUUAUAGCAACGCUUCCGCUUAGCGAUCUUCAAAGGUAUGAAGAUGCUCUUACCCCUCUCUCGUUGCUGGUCUCUCCAUAGGAAGAUCUGAAUAUGCGUAGGAAAAUUUUGAAUUUAUGCUACGUUUCCCAACAGUGGCAUCCGAGCCAGGUUUUCUAUGCGUAGAUUCUAUGCACGAGUAGAACACAAAAGUUGUGGGCGAUGAUUUGUCAAUUUGCUUGCCGCUACUAGUCUUAUUCUUUUCCGGCGGUAUUGUGGGAUGAAGCGGCCCGGACCGACUUUACACGUACACUUACAUGAGACUGGUUCCACCGACAGACAUGCACAUCGUGCAUAAAGGUGGCUAGCGGGUGUCUGUCUCUCCUACUCUAGUCGGAUUGGAUUUGAUGAAAAGGGUCCUUAUGAAGGGUAAAUAGCUUUGGCAUAUCAUCAUUGUGGCUGUCACGUAGGUAAGAAGGCGUUCUUGCUAGAAACCCAAAUCAGCCACGUAAAACUUGCAACAACAAUUAGAGGACGUCUAACUUGUUUUUGCAGGGUUUGACAUGUGAUGUGAUAUGGCCAAAGUUGUGAUGUUGCAUGUAUGAUGUAUGAUAUGAUCAUGUUAUUGUAAUAGGUUUCACGACUUGCAUGUCGAUGAGUAUGACAACCGGCAGGAGCCAUAGGAGUUGUCUUAAUUUAUUGUAUGAGAUGCAACGCCAUGUGCUUACUACUUUUACUUCAUUGCUAACGGUUAGCUAUAGUAGUAGUGAUAGUAGUAGUUGGCGUGACGACUUCACGGAGACACGAUGAUGGAGAUCAUGAUGAUGGAGAUCAUGGUGUCACGCCGGUGACGAUGAUGAUCAUGCGAUGCCUGAAGAUGGAGAUCGAAAGAGCAAAGAUGAUAAUGGCCAUAUCAUGUCACUAUAUGAUUGCAUUGUGAUGUUUAUCAUGUUUUACAUCUUAUUGCUUAAAACGACGGUAGCAUAAUAAGAUGCUCCCUCUUAAAAUUUCAAGAACGUAUUCCCCUAAGUGUGCACCGUUGCGAAGGUUCGUUGUCUCGAAGCACCCCGUGAUGAUCGGGUGUGAUAGAUUCUAACGUUCGCAUACAACGGGUGUAAGCCAGAUUUACACACGCGAAACACCUAGGUUGACUCGACGAGCUUAGCAUGUACAGACAUGACCUCGAAUAAAAGAGACCGAAAGGUCGAACAUGAGUCGUAUGGUUGAAUACGAUCAGCAUGAAGUUGCUCACCAUGGUGACUAGUCCGUCUCACGUGAUGAUCGGACACGGGUUAGUCAACAUGGAUCAUGUAUCACUUAGAUGACUAGAGGGAUGUCGAUUUAAGUGGGAGUUCAUACUUAAUUUGAUUAAAUGAACUUAAUUGUCAUGAACUUAGUCUAAAAGUUGUCUUUAUAAAUAUUGUAGAUGUCCAACGUCAACCUCAACUUCAACGCAUUCCUAGAGAAAAACAAGCUGAAAGAUGAUGGUAGCAACUAUGCGGACUGGGUUCGCAACUUGAAGCUCAUCCUUGAAGCAGCUAAAAAGGCUUAUGUCCUUAAUGCACCGCUAGGUGACCCUCCCGCUCCCGCAGCAGCCCGGGACAUUCUGAACGUCUGGCAAACGCGGAGUGAUGACUACUCUCUAGUCAGGUGUGGCAUGUUAUACAGUUUAAAAACGGGGCUCCAAAGGCGUUUUGAGCAACACGGGGCAUAUGAGAUGUUCCAGGAGCUGAAGCUAGUUUUUCAAGCUCAUGCCCGUGUCGAGAGAUAUGAAGUCUCCGACAAGUUCUUUAGCUGUAAGAUGGAGGAGAACAGUUCUGUCAGUGAGCACAUACUCAAAAUGUCUGGGUUACACGGUCGACUGACUUCACUUGGAGUCGAACUUCCGGAUGAUGCUAUAAUUGACAGAAUUCUCCAGUCUCUCCCACCAAGCUACAAAGGCUUUGUGCUUAACUACAACAUGCAAGGGAUGGAGAAGACCAUUCCCGAGUUGUACUCGAUGCUCAAGUCUGCAGAAGUAGAAAUCAAGAAGGAGCAUCAAGUGUUGAUGGUCAACAAGACCACUAGUUACAAAAAAGGCAGGGGUAAGAAGAACUUCAAGAAAGACGGCAAAGUUGUUGCCGCGCCCGGUAAGCCAGAUGCCGGGAAGAAGAAAAAGAACGGACCCAAGCCUCAGACUGAGUGCUUCUAUUGCAAGGGAAAGGGUCACUGGAAGCGGAACUGCCCCCAAAUACUUAGCGGACAAGAAGGCCGGCAACGUUAAAGGUAUAUGUGAUAUACAUGUUAUUGAUGUGUACCUUACCAGCGCUCGUAGUAGCUCCUGGGUAUUUGAUACCGGUGCUGUUGCUCACAUUUGCAACUCAAAGCAGGAACUGCGGAAUAAGCGGAGACUGGCCAAGGACGAGGUGACGAUGCGCGUCGGGAAUGGUUCAAAGGUCGAUGUGAUCGCCGUCGGCACGCUACCUCUACAUCUACCGUCGGGAUUAGUUUUAAACCUUAAUAAUUGUUAUUUAGCACCAGCUUUAAGCAUGAACAUUGUAUCAGGGUCUUGCUUAAUGCGAGACGGCUACUCAUUUAAGUCAGAUAAUAAUGGUUGUUCUAUUUAUAUGAGUGAUAUGUUUUAUGGUCAUGCUCCGCUGGUGAAUGGUUUAUUCUUGAUGAAUCUCGAUCGUGAUGUUACACAUAUUCAUAGUGUGAGUACCAAAAGAUCAAAGUUGAUAAUGAUAGUCCCACAUACUUGUGGCACUGCCGCCUUGGUCAUAUCGGCGUUAAGCGCAUGAAGAAGCUCCAUACUGAUGGACUAUUAGAGUCUCUUGAAUUUGAAUCAUUUGACACAUGCGAACCGUGCCUCAUGGGCAAGAUGACUAAGACUCCAUUCUCAGGAAUAAUGGAGAGAGCAACCGACUUAUUGGAAAUAAUACAUACUGAUGUGUGUGGUCCAAUGAACGUUGAAGCUCGCGGUGGUUAUCGUUAUGUUCUCACUCUCACCGAUGAUUUGAGUAGUUAUGGGUAUAUCUACUUGAUGAAGCACAAAUCUGAGACGUUUGAAAGGUUCAAGGAAUUUCAGAGUGAGGUUGAGAAUCAACGUGACAGAAAAAUUAAAUGUCUACGAUCUGAUCGUGGAGGAGAAUAUUUGAGUCACGAGUUUGGCACACACCUAAGGAAGUGUGGAAUCGUUUCACAACUGACGCCGCCUGGCACACCCCAGCGCAACGGAGUGUCUGAACGUCGUAAUCGCACUUUAUUAGAUAUGGUACGAUCUAUGAUGUCUCUCACCGACUUACCACUAUCAUUUUGGGGAUACGCAUUAGAAACUGCAGCAUUCACUUUAAAUAGGGCACCGUCUAAAUCCGUUGAGACGAUACCGUAUGAACUAUGGUUUGGCAAGAAACCUAAGUUGUCGUUUCUUAAAGUUUGGGGCUGCGAUGCUUAUGUGAAGAAACUUCAACCAGAAAAGCUCGAACCCAAAGAGGAGAAAUGCGUAUUCAUAGGAUACCCUAAGGAAACUAUUGGGUAUACCUUCUAUCUUAGAUCCGAAGGUAAAACCUUUGUUGCCAAGAACGGAUCCUUUCUAGAGAAAGAGUUUCUCUCGAAAGAAGUAAGUGGGAGGAAGGUAGAACUUGAUGAGGUAAUUACACCCCCUCUCGAACAAGAAAGUAGCGCAGCGCGGGAAGUUGUUCCUCUGGCGCCUACACUGACUGAAGAGGAAGUUAAUGAUGAUGAUCAUGAAGCUUCGGAUCAAGUUACUACUGAACCGCGAAGGUCCACAAGGGCACGCUCCGCACCAGAAUGGUACGGCAACCCUGUGAUGGAAAUCAUGUUGUUAGACAACGGUGAACCUUCGAACUAUGAAGAAGCGAUGGCGGGCCCGGAUUCCAACAAAUGGCUUGAGGCCAUGAAAUCCGAGAUAGGAUCCAUGUAUGAGAACAAAGUAUGGACUUUGGUGGACUUGCCCAAUGACCGGCGAGCCAUAGAAAAUAAAUGGAUCUUCAAGAAGAAGACUGAUGCCCAAUGACCGCCCACAAAAACUUUUGUGUUCUACUCGAGAAGACAUCUACGCAUGUACCUAGCUCAUGAUGCCACUGUUGGGGAACGUCGCAUGGGAAACAAAAAUUUUCCUACGCGCACGAAGACCUAUCAUGGUGAUGUCCAUCUACGAGAGGGGAUGUGUGUGUUGGAAAUAUGCCCUAGAGGCAAUAAUAAAAUGUUUAUUAUCAUAUUUCCUUGUUCAUGAUAAUCGUCUAUUGUUCAUGCUAUAAUUGUAUUAACAGGAAACAGUAAUACAUGUGUGAAUAAAUAGAUCACAAUGUGUCCCUAGCAAGCCUCUAGUUGGCUAGCUCGUUAGUCAAUAGAUGAUCAUGGUUUCCUGAUCAUGGGCAUUAGAUGUCAUUGAUAACGGGAUCACAUCAUUGGAAGAAUGAUGUGAUGGACAAGACCCAAUCCUAAGCCUAGCACUAGAUCGUAUUGUUCGUAUGCUAAUACUUUUCUAAUGUCAAGUAUCUUUUCCUUCGACCGUGAGAUUGUGCAACUCCCGGAUACCGUAGGAGUGCUUUGGGUGUAUCAAACGUCACAACGUAACUGGGUGAGUAUAAAGGUGCACUACGGGUACCUCCGAAAGUAUCUGUUGGGUUGGUACGAAUCGAGAUCGGGAUUUGUCACUCCGUAUGACGGAGAGGUAUCUCUGGGCCCACUCGGUAGAACAUCAUCAUGAGCUCAAUGUGACUAAGGAGUUAGUCACACGAUGACGUGCUACGGAACGAUUAAAGAGACUUACCGGUAACGAGAUUGAACAAGGUAUAGGUAUACCGACGAUCGAAUCUCGGGCAAGUUCUAUACCGACAGACAAAGGGAAUCGUGUACGGGAUUGAUUGAAUCCUUGACAUCGUGGUUCAUCCGAUGAGUUCAUCCUGGAGCAAGUGGGAGCCACCAUGGGGUCCAGACCCCGCUGAUGGUUAUUGGCCAGAGAGGUGUCUCGGUCAUGUCUGCCUCUCUCCCGAACCCGUAGGGUCUACACACUUAAGGUUCGAUGACGCUAGGGUUAUAGGGAAUUGUUAUACGAGGUUACCGGAAGUUGUUCGGAGUCCCGGAUGAUAUCCCGGACGUCACGAGGAGCUCCGGAAUGGUCCGAAGGUAAAGAUUGAUAUAUAGGACGGAUGGUUUCGGAUACCGGAAGUGUUUCGGGCAUCACCGGUAACGUACCGGGACCACCGGGACCACCGGAGGUGGCCCCGGGGGACCACCGAAGGGGGGCAACGACCCCGGGAGAUAAGGUGGGCCAAGUGGGGGUGGGAACCAGCCCCUAGGUGGGUUGGUGCGCCUCCCCACUCAGCCCAUAGCGCAAGGGAGAGAAAGGGGGGCAAACCCCACGCCAGGUGGGCCUAAGGCCCACCAGAUGGUGCGCCACCCCCUCCUCCCCCUUCUGGCCGCCGCACCUCCCAUCUGGGGGGGCUGCCGCACCCCCUAGGGUGGGAACCCUAGGGGUGGCACCCCCUCUCCCCUUCCCCUAUAUAUAUCGGGCACUUUUGGCCAUUGAGACACACGGUUUUUUCCCUCUCUCUCGGCGCACCCGUGUUCUCCUUCCUCCUCCUCUCCGCCGGUGCUUGGCGAAGCCAUGCCAGGAGGCCUCGUCUCUCCAUCGACACCACGCCGUCGUGUUGCUGGAGUUCUUCCCCAACCUCUCCCUCCUCCUUGCUGGAUCAAGGUGUGGGAGACGUCACCGGGCUACACGUGUGUUGAACGCGGAGGUGUCGUUGUUCGGCACUAGAUCGGAAUCACCACGAUUACGACUCCAUCAACCGCGUUAUAGCAACGCUUCCGCUUAGCGAUCUUCAAAGGUAUGAAGAUUCUCUUACCCCUCUCUCGUUGCUGGUCUCUCCAUAGGAAGAUCUGAAUAUGCGUAGGAAAAUUUUGAAUUUAUGCUACGUUUCCCAACAGUGUGAUCUACGUACCCUUGUAGACCAUACAGCAGAAGCGUUAGUGAACGCCGUUGAUGUAGUGGAACGUCCUCACGUCCCUCGAUCCGCCCCGCGAACCGUCCCGCGAUCAGUCCCACGAUCUAGUGCCGAAUGGACGGCACCUCCGCGUUCAGCACACGUACAGCUCGACGAUGAUCUCGGCCUUCUUGAUCCAGCAAGAGAGACGAAGAGGUAGAAGAGUUCUCCGGCAGCGUGACGGCGCUCCGGAGGUUGGUGAUUAUCUCGUCUCAGCAGGCUCCGCCCGAGCUCCGCAGAAACGCGAUCUAGAGGAAAAACCGUGGAGGUAUGUGGUCGGGCUGCCGUGGAAAAGUCGUCUCAAAUCAGCCCUAAAACCUCCGUAUAUAUAGGUGGGAGAGGGGGGACCUUGCCUUGGGGCUCAAGGAGCCCCAAGGGGGUCGGCCGAGCCAAAGGGGGGAAGGACUCCCCCCCAAACCGAGUCCUAUUUGGUUUGGUGGGUGGAGUCCUUCUUUCCUUUCCCACCUCCUCCUUUUUUUUCUUUUCUCUUUGAUUUUUCUUCCAAUGUGCAUAGGGCCCUUUUGGGCUGUCCCACCAGCCCACUAAGGGCUGAUGCGCCACCCUCAAGGCCUAUGGGCUUCCCGGGGUGGGUUGCGACCCCCCCCCCCCCCGGUGAACUCCCGGAACCCAUUCGUCAUUCCCGGUACAUUCCCGGUAACUCCGAAAACCUUCCGGUAAUCAAAUGAGGCCAUCCUAUAUAUCAAUCUUUGUUUCCGGACCAUUCUGGAAACCCUCGUGACGUCCGUGCUCUCAUCCGGGACUCCGAAAAACAUUCGGUAACCAACCAUAUAACUCAAAUACGCAUAAAACAACGUCGAACCUUAAGUGUGCAGACCCUGCGGGUUCGAGAACUAUGUAGACAUGACCCGAGAGACUCCUCGGUCAAUAUCCAAUAGCGGGACCUGGAUGCCCAUAUUGGAUCCUACAUAUUCUACGAAGAUCUUAUCAUUUGAACCUCAGUGCCAAGGAUUCAUAUAAUCCCGUAUGUCAUUCCCUUUGUCCUUCGGUAUGUUACUUGCCCGAGAUUCGAUCGUCAGCAUCCGCAUACCUAUUUCAAUCUCGUUUACGGCAAGUCUCUUUACUCGUUCCGUAACACAAGAUCCCGCAACUUACACUAAGUUACAUUGCUUGCAAGGCUUGUGUGUGAUGUUGUAUUACCGAGUGGGCCCCGAGAUACCUCUCCGUCACACGGAGUGACAAAUCCCAGUCUUGAUCCAUACUAACUCAACGAACACCUUCGGAGAUACCUGUAGAGCUCUUUAUAGUCACCCAGUUACGUUGCGACGUUUGAUACACACAAAGUAUUCCUCUGGUGUUAGUGAGUUAUAUGAUCUCAUGGUCAUAGGAACAAAUACUUGACACGCAGAAAACAGUAGCAACAAAAUGACACGAUCAACAUGCUACGUCUAUUAGUUUGGGUCUAGUCUAUCACGUGAUUCUCCUAAUGACGUGAUCCAGUUAUCAAGAAACAACACCUUGUUUAUAAUCAGAAGACACUGACUAUCUUUGAUCAACUCGCUAGCCAACUAGAGGCUUGCUAGGGACAGUGUUUUGUCUAUGUAUCCACACAUGUAAAUGAGUCUUCAUUCAAUACAAUUAUAGCAUGUAUAAUAAACGAUUAUCUUGAUACAUGAAUUAUAAUAAUAACUAUAUUUAUUAUUGCCUCUAGGGCAUAAUUCCAACAGUUCUGGUGUUGAUCAUGCUUUGCCCGUGGAAGAGGUUUAGUCAGCGGGUCCUACAUUCAGAUCCGUGUGCACUUUGCAUAUAUUUACGUCCUCCCCCUCGACGUAGUCGCGGUUGAGGUUGAAGCGUCGUUUGAUGUUUCUGGUCUUCUUAUGAAACCGUGGUUCCUUUGCUAAGGCAAUGGCACCCGUGUUGUCACAAAACAAGGUUAUUGGAUUCAGUGCGCUUGGCACCACUUCAAGAUCCGUCAUGAACUGCUUCAUCCAGACACCCUCCUUAGCCGCCUCCGAGGCAGCCAUGUACUCCGCUUCACAUGUAGAAUCAGCUACGACGCUUUGCUUGGAACUGCACCAGCUUACCGCACCCCUAUUAAGAAUAAAUACAUAUCCGGUCUGCGACUUAUCGUCGUCCGGAUCUGUGUCAAAGCUUGCAUCGACGUAACCCUUUACGGCAAGCUCUUCGUCACCUCCAUACACGAGAAACAUCUCCUUAGUCCUUUUCAGGUACUUCAGGAUAUUCUUGACCGCCGUCCAGUGAUCCACUCCUGGAUUACUCUGGAACCUGCCUGCCAUACUUAUGGCCAGGCUAACGUCCGGUCUAGUGCACAACAUUGCAUACAUGAUAGAUCCUAUGGCUGAAGCAUAGGGGACGGUGCUCAUAUGCUCUCUAUCUUUAUCAGUUGCUGGGCACUGAGUCUUACUCAAUCUUGUACCUUGUAAAACUGGCAACAACCCUUUCUUGGUCUGUUCCAUUUUGAACCUCUUCAAAACUUUAUCAAGGUAUGUGCUUUGUGAAAGUCCUAUCAGGCGUUUUGAUCUAUCCAUGUAGAUCUUAAUGCCUAGAAUGUAAGCAGCUUCUCCUAGGUCCUUCAUAGAGAAACUUUUAUUCAAGUAAUCCUUUAUGCUCUCCAAAAACUCUACGUUGUUUCCAAUCAGUAAUAUGUCAUCCACAUAUAAUAUUAGAAACGCCACAGAGCUCCCACUCACUUUCUUGUAAAUACAAGAUUCUCAAACCACUUGUAUAAACCCAAAUGCUUUGAUCACCUCAUCAAAGCGUUUAUUCCAACUCCGAGAUGCUUGCACCAGUCCAUAAAUGGAUCGCUGGAGCUUGCAUACCUUGUUAGCAUUUUUAGGAUCGACAAAACCUUCGGGUUGCAUCAUAUACAACUCUUCCUUAAGGAAUCCGGUAAGGAACGCCGUUUUGACAUCCAUCUGCCAUAUUUCAUAAUCGAAAAAUGCAGCUAUUGCUAACAUGAUUCUGACGGACUUAAUCAUCGCUACGGGUGAGAAUUUUUCAUCGUAGUCAACUCCUUGAACUUGUGAUAAAACCCUUUGCCACAAGUCGAGCUUUAUAAACGGUCACAUUGCCGUCAGCGUCCGUCUUCUUCUUGAAGAUCCAUUUGUUCUGAAUAGACUUGCGGCCCUCAGGUAGUACUUCCAAAGUCCACACCUUGUUUUCAUACAUGAAUCCUAUCUCGGACUUCAUUGCCUCCAGCCAUUUGUUGGAAUCUGGUCCCACCAUUGCUUCUUCAUAAUUUGUAGGUUCAUUGUUGUCUAACAACAUGAUUGACAAAACGGGAUUACCGUACCACUCUGGAGAAGCACGUGGUCUCGUCGACCUACGCGGUUCGAUAGGAACUUGAACCGGAGUUUCAUGAUCAUCAUCAUUAACUUCCUCCUCAACCGGCAUCGCAACAACAGGGGUUUCCCCUUGCCCUGCGCCACCAUCCAGAGGGAUGAGAGGUUCGACAACCUCAUCAAGUUCUAUCUUCCUCCCACUCAAUUCUCUCGAGAGAAACUCCUUCUCGAGAAAAGCUCCAUUUUUAGCAACAAACACUUUGCCCUCGGAUUUGAGAUAGAAGGUGUACCCAACUGUCUCUUUUGGGUAACCUAUGAAGAUGCACUUUUCCGCUUUGGGUUCCAGCUUUUCAGGCUGAAGCUUUUUGACAUAAGCAUCACAUCCCCAAACUUUAAGAAACGACAACUUUGGCCUUUUGCCAUACCACAGUUCGUAUGGUGUCGUCUCAACGGAUUUUGAUGGUGCCCUAUUUAAAGUGAAUGCAGCUGUGUCUAAUGCAUAACCCCAAAACGAUAACGGCAAAUCGGUAAGAGACAUCAUAGAUCACACCAUCUCUAAUAAAGUAUGAUUACGACGUUCGGACACACCAUUACGCUGUGUUGUUCCAGGCGGUGUCAACUGUGAAACAAUUCCACAUUGUCUUAAGUGAGCACCAAACUCGAAACUCAGAUAUUCACCCCCACGAUCAGACCGUAGGAACUUGAUCUUCUUGUUACGAUGAUUUUCAACUUCACUCUGAAAUUGCUUGAACUUUUCAAAUGUUUCAGACUUGUGCUUCAUUAAGUAGACAUAACCAUAUCUACUCAAAUCGUCAGUGAAGGUGAGAAAAUAACAAUAUCCGCCGCGUGCCUCCACGCUCAUCGGACCGCACACAUCGGUAUGUAUGAUUUCCAACAAGUCACUGACACGCUCCAUUGUUCCGGAGAACGGAGUUUUAGUCAUCUUGCCCAUGAGGCAUGGUUCGCACGUGUCAAGUGAAUCAAAGUCAAGUGACUCCAAAAGUCCAUCGGUAUGGAGUUUCUUCAUGCGCUUUACACCAAUAUGACCUAAGCGGCAGUGCCACAAAAACAUGGCGCUAUCAUUGUUAACUCUAACUCUUUUGGUCUCAAUGUUAUGUAUAUGUCUAUUAUCACUAUCAAGAUUCAAUAUGAACAAUCCUCUCACAUUGGGUGCAUGACCAUAAAAGAUGUUACUCAUAGAAGUAGAACAACCAUUAUUCUCUGACUUAAAAGAGUAACCGUCUCACAAUAAACAAGAUCCAGAUAUAAUGUUCAUGCUCAACGCAGGCACUAAAUAACAAUUAUUCAAGUUCAUAACUAAUCCUGAUGGUAACUGAAGUGAAACUGUGCCGACGGCGAUUGCAUCAACCUUGGAACCAUUUCCUACGCGCAUCGUGUCACGCCCAAGAUGCGACCCUAUCCUCAAUUUGGCACGAAGGCCUCGUCAGGGAUAGAAGCGCAUCUUGUCGUGUCGCAAGAAUGGAUAUCGUUACAAGUACAUAUACUGAAAAGAAGAGUUAUAUAUACAGAGUUGGCUUACACUCGCCACAAGCUACAUCAGAGUCACAUCAGUACAUUACAUAAUCAUCAAGAGUAAGAGCAGGGUCCGACUAUGGACGAAAACAAACAAAAAAAGAAGAACGAUGUCCAUCCUUGCUAUCCCAGGCUGCCGGCCUGGAACCCAUCCUAGAUCGAUGAAGAAGAAGAAGAAGAAGCAAACCAAAUGUACAAUCAAAGCGCUCGCGUCAAGUAACCUUUACAUGUAUCUGCAACUGGUGUUGUAGUAAUCUGUGAGCCACAGGGGACUCAGCAAUCUCAUUUCCAAAGGUAUCAAGACUAGCAAAGCUUACUGGGUGAGGUAUGGUUAAGUGGUGAGGUUGCAGCAGCGGCUAAGCAUAUAUGAGGUGGCUAAACUUACGAGUACAAGGAAUAAGAGGGGGAAGAUCUACGCAUAACGGACGAGAACUACUGAUGAUCAGAUGAAUGAUCCUGAACACCUACCUACGUCAGACAUAACCCCACCGUGUCCUCGAUCGGAGAAGGAACUCACGAAAGAGACAGUCACGGUUACGCACACAGUUGGCAAGUUUUUAAUUAAGUUAACUUCAAGUUAUCUAGAACCAGUGUUAAACAAAGUUUCCACGUUGCCACAUAACCGCGGGCAAGGCUUUCCGAAAGAUUUAACCCUGCAGGGGUGCUCCAACUAGUCCAUCACAAAUUACCACAAGCCGCAUAGAAAUCCUCAAUCACGAAGCUCGCGAUCUCGUCGGAUUCCCUAGUGGAAAGCUUCAACUCUGAGAUUACCCAAAGCAUCAACGGAAUCCCGAUGCACAAGAUAUCUCGUCAAAGGUAAAACUAAUCCAGCAAGGCCGCCCGGCGUGUCGACGAUCCCGAUAGGAGCCGCGUAUCUCGUUCUCAAGACACGACGGAUAAGCGACGCGUACGAGUGCCAAACCUCGAGUUUCCUCGUGGUGGCCCCUCACAGUGCUCUGUUUUGGACCAACACUCAUGAGGAGCACUGGCCCGGGGGUUGAUUAAAUUAUCCUCGGGGCCUGGGAAGUCCCUAUGCAAUUUUUAUUAGGUGAUUAGGCAAAUGUAGUACCAAAGUUGGGCCUUGCCAGACCAGCUUUAAUAUAGAACGAAUUAUCAAGGGGGUCCCCAUAACAACCCCGAUCGUGUUAGGAGCGCUCAAUUAUGGAACAUAACACCGGUAGCCGGAAACUAAGGGGGCAAAGGUGGAACAAAACACCAGGCUAGAAAGGCCGAGCCUUCCACCUUUUACCAAGUAUAUAGGUGCAUUAACUUAAAUAGCAUUUAAAUAUGGCGAUAUAAGAAGGAACCCAUGCUUUCACAUGGAAGCAACUGCACCUGCAACUAGCAACGCUAACACAGGGUUAAGCAAGCGGUAACAUAGCCAAUCAGUGGUUUGCUAGGUCGAACAGGUUGAAGGUUUUCAUGGCAUUGUUGAGAGGCUGAAAUUUAACAUGUGGUAGGCAACGAGACAUAAACGAUAGAAGCGGUAAACUAGCAUGGCAAUGAUAGUAAUGGUAUCUGGGGAAAUGAUCAUCUUGCCUGAGAUCCUGCUUGGAAGAAGAACAACUCGGAGAACCAGAUGAACGGACGUAGUCAAACGGGUCCUCACAUACCGACACGCUUGCGGAACUCUAUCGGAACAGAGCAAACUGGAAACAAACAUCAACACAAAUAUUCACCACACGAUGCACAACAUGAUGCAUAACCUACUAUGAUGCAUGAUCAGUUCAUUGAUGCAAGAGAUGGCAUGGCAUUUCACCUCACGCAAACACUACACAUUAAAUGAAGCUCGAUAUGCAACGGGUUGCAUAUCGGCAAAACUCCACGAUUAACUAAUUAAUUCACUCCCGAUUAUUUAACACGCAAUAUUAAAUGUGGUUAACAUGGCAAGGGGUGAAGCGGUGAUCCUACAAGUCAUCCUAGUCGGUUUAACUCGCGGAACAUGGAACGAGCUACGGCACAAGAACAUGCAACACCAGAUAACAUGCCAUGAAUGCGACAUGCAUGCAAGUUACAACAUCACGACAAGAAGAGAAAGAAGCAGGUGUCGCCACGGCGAGCGAGAGGGAACCAUGGCGGCAAAACAGAAACGAUGCCACGGCAACGUUCCUAUCCCGACAACUCGUCGCGAUCUCGGUGCCACGAUCUGGAAGCGUGUGUGGAAACGUUAAAUAAAGAUGGGGUGAUCCCGUAUCUCGGGUUCCCAUGUGUCGAGGCACGACGAAAGAAGACAACGGGAAACGGGCAACAUACGGUGCAUACAUACAUACAUCUCACACACCAUAUGCGUUCGGUACACGACACGUCUCAUUGGUAUACCUUCGACGCGUGCAUAUCGGAGCGGAUCGGUUCGUAGCGGACGUCGUGGAAGUAGUCGUACACGCGCCGGUAGUUGAAGUAGUGGUACACGGUCUCGUCGACGGUAGUCGUUCGCUCGGCGUCGUGGUUCUCGGGUGUUCGGCGACGUCGAGGAAGACGAACUCGUUUCCGGGGGUCGUCGAGGGCAUCGUGGUACCCGCGGAGAACUUGCUGUCGACCCACGACAUGCGGGGAUGGUGCUCGUGGCGACGCAAGCGGCAACACAGCAAAAAUGCAACGGCGCCGGCAAACAACGGCAAGCAGCAAAGCAGCAGCUACACGGCACGGCUGCACAUGUAAGCAGUGGCAGCAACGACAACGCCAACAGCUAGAUACCUACAUGCAGCAGCAACAAGUCGGCAGCGCAGCAGGCAGCAACAUGCAUCACGCAGCUACUAGCAACAUCUUGUAGCAGCAACAACUAGGCAGCAGCAAGAGCACAGCAGCGACAUCACCAGCGACUAGUAGCUAAGCAGCAUCAAGCAGCAACGACAGCAAGUAACAACAGCAAGCAGCCGGCACAGCAGCAAGCAAUCGGCAGCGGCUAGCGGACCACAACAACAUCAAGCACGCAGCAACAACCAGCUAGGCGCAGCAGCAGCAUACACAGCAGCACAUCGGGCACAACCAUCUCACGCAGCAGCAGCAAAAACGCAACAGCAAUAGGAACGGCAACGCCAGCAGGCAACAUCAUUAGGCAGCAGUAAGACGCACAGCAACAGCAAACGGCCAGCAGCUAGCAAGCAGCGGCAUGCACGGCAGCAGCAGCAGCGGGCAGCGACAGCAACAGCUCGGCUGGCGGAGCAAAAGGAAGGAGGAGGCCGGGCCAUGGCAAGCUUGACGACGAGGCGAACAACCGGCGGCUGCACGAGCUCGCGAGGCUGCGCGCAUGGAGGCGAGCACGCGGGGCUGGAGGGAACGGCCACGGCGGGCAGCGCGGCGCGGGGAGGCGAGCCACCUGAGGAGGAGGGGCGAGGCCAUGGCGACGCCGGUGGAAGGCGAGCAUGGCGGCCAGGGCGUCGAGCUCCUGCGGCAGGCGAGGGAAACGGGGCGAGCACGCGGGGAGGGGAGCAGGCGCGCGGCGGCGGGCAUGGCGGGGCGAGGCCGGCGGCGACGCGCAGGUAGGCGGGCGCUAGCACUGGCAGCGGGGAAGCACGGGAUGCAGGGCUACGCGGGGCUGGGAAUCGGGUAGAGAGGAGAUGACGGUGCUCGGGGGGGAGACCAGAGAUGGAUCGAGGGGGCUAGGGCAGGGUCUGCUGGGCCUGGCCGGUUGCCUCCCUUGGGCCUGGGAACUCCCUCUCUCUUUUUGCUAUUUUUUUAUACUUUUAAAAACAGAAAACCCAAACAAAAGAAAAGGAAAAAAAAGAAGGUUUUAAUAAAAUAAGAAAAAAAUGCCUUUUGACUUCUUGAAAAUAAAAUAUACCCCAACUAUAAGGAUAGCUUGGGCAUUUUUUUAAACGAAUAAAAAUAACCUUUUGAAGAAUUAAAAAAAAAACCUUUUACAAAAGAUAAAAUAAAACCCCUUUUAUCUAAAGAAAAAUAAAGGCCCUGUUAAAGAAGAAAAUAAAAUGAUACUCUGUUAUGAAAAUAAACAAAAGGAAAAAAAUAAAGGAAACCCAAGGGGUUGCCCCCACAUUUAACAAAGGAUUUUAAAAGAAGACGAACUUGUUUUAAAAGGGGUUAAAACCGAAACCUCAACGCAACCACGAAAUAAAAUAAGAGGGGAGAGAAGGUUUAGGUCCGCGGUGCAACAAGGUUUAGCUGUGGCUCUCGCGCACCCUCUCUCAACGCUCCAAUAAAACAACGCCACUCACAAGGCACUAACACCCAACAACACGGCAACAAGCAACACCGACAAAACAUAGUUGACAUGAUGCCAUGCAUGAUGCGAUGAUGCAAACUACAUGACGAUGCAACGAAUAAAUCUAAUCACACGACGGAAACGGAAUAGAAGGGAAAAUCUUCUGGAACGUUGGCAUCGGGCUGUCACACAUCGUCACUUCAUCUUUCGCCAGCCUUCGCCUAUUCCACAGUUCCUGUUUCGAGUUGCAAAUAUGAGCAACAGAACCGGUAUUGAAUACCCAGGCACUACUACGAGAGCCGGUUAAGUACACAUCAAUAACAUGUAUAUCAAAUAUACCUGAUUUUUCUUUGGCCGCCUUCUUAUCAGCCAGAUACUUGAGGCAGUUGCGCUUCCAGUUACCCAUACCCUUGCAAUAGUAGCACUCUGUUUCAGGCUUAGGUCCAGCUUUGGGUUUCUUCGUCGGAUUGGCAAUAGGCUUGCCGCUCUUCUUUGAAUUACCCUUCUUCCCUUUGCCGUUUCUCUUCAAACUAGUGGUCUUAUUCACCAUCAACACUUGAUGCUCUUUACGGAAUUCAGACUCUGCGACUUUCAGCAUCGCAAACAACUCGCCGGGUGACUUGUUCAUCCCUUGCAUGUUGUAGUUCAACACAAAGCCCUUAUAGCUUGGCGGUAGUGAUUGAAGAAUUCUGUCAGUGAUAGCCUCUUGCGGGAGUUCAAUCCCCAGCUCAGCUAGACGAUUUGAGUACCCAGAAAUUUUGAGCACAUGUUCACUGACAGACGAAUUCUCCUCCAUCUUGCAAGCAUAGAAUUUAUCGGAGGUCUCAUACCUCUCAAUCCGGUCGUUCUUCUGAAAUAUAAACUUCAACUCCUAGAACAUAUCAUAUGCUCCAUGACGCUCAAAGCGACGUUGAAGUCCCGGCUCUAAGCCAUACAAGACUGCACAUUGAACUACUGAGUAGUCCUCCUUACUUGUUAACCAAGCGUUCUUAGCAUCUUGGUCAGCCGUAGCGGGUGGUUCAUCUCCUAGCGCAGCAUUAAGGACAUAAUCCUUCUUCCCAGCUUGUAGGAUCAACUUAAGAUUACGAACCCAGUCUACAAAGUUGCUUCCAUCAUCUUUCAACUUAGAUUUCUCUAGGAACGUAUUAAAAUUCAGGGUACCUGUCGCGUGAGCCAUGAUCUACAACACAAAUAUAUUCAAAGUGGACUUAGACUAUGUUCAAGAUAAUUAGAGUUUAACUUAAUCAAAUUAUUUGCUAAACUCCCACUCAAAAAUACAUCUCUCUAGUCAUUUGAGUGGUUCAUGACCCACUUACACUAGCUCAAGUCCGAUCAUCACGUGAGUUGAGUAUAGUUUCAGUGGUAAGCAUCCCUAUGCUAAUCAUAUCAACUAUAUGAUUCAUGAUCGACCUUUCGGUCUCAUGUGUUCCGAGGCCAUGUCUGCACAUGCUAGGCUCGUCAAGCUUAACCCGAGUGUUCCGCGUGUGCAACUGUUUUGCACCCGUUGUAUGUGAACGUUGAGUCUAUCACACCCGAUCAUCACGUGGUGUCUCGAAAUGACGAACUGUAGCAACGGUGCACAGUCGGGGAGAACACAAUUUUGUCUUGAAAUUUUAGUGAGAGAUCACCUCAUAAUGCUACAGUCGUUCUAAGCAAAACAAGGUGCAUAAAAGGAUUAACAUCACAUGCAAUUCAUAAGUGACAUGAUAUGGCCAUCAUCAUGUGCUCCUUGAUCUCCAUCACCAAAGCACCGGCACGAUCUUCUUGUCACCGGCGCCACACCAUGAUCUCCAUCAACGUGUCGCCAUCGGGGUUGUCGUGCUACUCAUGCUAUUACUACUAAAGCUACAUCCUAGCAAAAUAGUAAACGCAUCUGCAAGCACAAACGUUAGUUUAAAGACAACCCUAUGGCUCCUGCCGGUUGCCGUACCAUCGACGUGCAAGUCGAUAUUAUCUAUUACAACAUGAUCAUCUCAUACAUCCAAUAUAUUACAUCACAUCGUUGGCCAUAUCACAUCAUAAGCAUACCCUGCAAAAACAAGUUAGACGUCCUCUAAUUUGUUGUUGCAUGUUUUACGUGGUGACCAUGGGUAUCUAGUAGGAUCGCAUCUUACUUACGCAAACACCACAACGGAGAUAUAUGAAUUGCUAUUUAACCUUAUCCAAGGACCUCCUCGGUCAAAUCCGAUUCAACUAAAGUUGGAGAAACAGACACUCGCCGGUCAUCUUUGAGCAACGGAGUUACUCGUAUCGAUGAAACCAGUCUCUUGUAAGCGUACGAGUAAUGUCGGUCCGAGCCACUUCGAUCCAACAAUACCGCGGGAUCAAGAAAAGACUAAGGAGGGCAUCAAAACGCACAUCACCGCCCACAAAAACUUUUGUGUUCUACUCAAGAAGACAUCUACGCAUGAACCUAGCUCAUGAUGCCACUGUUGGGGAACGUCGCAUGGGAAACAAAAAAUUUCCUACGCGCACGAAGACCUAUCAUGGUGAUGUCCAUCUAUGAGAGGGGAUUUCCGAUCUACGUACCCUUGUAGAUCGCACAGCAGAAGCGUUAAGAAACACGGUUGAUGUAGUGGAACGUCCUCACGUACCUCGAUACGCCCCGCGAACCGUCCCACUAACCGUCCCGCGAUCCGUCCCACGAUCUAGUGCCGAACGGACGGCACCUCCGCGUUCAGCACACGUACAGCUCGACGAUGAUCUCGGCCUUCUUGAUCCAGAAAGAGAGACGGAGAGGUAGAUGAGUUCUCCGGCAGCGUGACGGCGCUCCGGAGGUUGGUGGUGAUCUAAUCUCAGCAGGGCUCCGCCCGAGCUCCACAGAAAUGCGAUCUAGAGGUAAAACCGUGGAGGUAUGUGGUCGGGCUGCCGUGGCAAAAGUCGUUUCAAAUCAGCCCUAAUAGCUCCAUAUAUAUAGGAGGAGGGGAGGGGAGGCUUGCCUUGAGGCUCAAUGAGCCCCAAGGGCUGCGCCACCAAGGGAGGAGGAGUCCUCCUCCAACUAGGAUUGGAAGGUGGAGUCCUUCUCUUCUUUCCCACCUUCCUUUUUUUAUUUUCUCUUUGAUUUUCUAUCUAUGGCGCAUAGGGCCUUCUUGGGCUGUCCCACCAGCCCACCAAGGGCUAGUGCGCCACCCCCAAGGCCUAUGGACUUCCCCGGGGUAUGCUGCCCCCCCCCCCAACGUGAACACCCGGAACCCAUUCGUCAUUCCCGGUACAUUCCCGGUAACUCCGAAAACCUUCCGGUAAUCAAAUGAGGUCAUCCUAUAUAUCAAUCUUCAUUUCCAAACCAUUCCGGAAACCCUCGUGACAUCCGUGAUGUCAUCCGGGACUCCGAACAACAUUCGGUAACCAACCAUAUAACUCAAAUACGCAUAAAACAACGUCGAACCUUAAGUCUGCAGACCCUGCAGGUUCGAGAACUAUGUAGACAUGACCCGAGUGACUCCUCGGUCAAUAUCCAAUAGCGGGACCUAGAUGCCCAUAUUGGAUCCCACAUAUUCUACGAAGAUUUUAUCGUUUGAACCUCAGUGCCAGGGAUUCAUAUAAUCCCGUAUGUCAUUCCCUUUGUCCUUCGGUAUGUUACUUGCCCGAGAUUCGAUCGUCAGUAUCCGCAUACCUAUUUCAAUCUCGUUUACCGGCAAGUCUCUUUACUCGUUCCGUAAUACAAGAUCCCGCAACUUACACUAAGUUACAUUGCUUGCAAGGCUUGUGUAUGAUGUUGUAUUACCGAGUGGGCCCCAAGAUACCUCUCCGUCAUACGGAGUGACAAAUCCUAGUCUCGAUCCAUACUAACUCAACGAACACCUUCGGAGAUACCUGUAGAGCAUCUUUAUAGUCACCCAGUUACGUUGCGAUGUUUGAUACACAAAAAGCAUUCCUCCGGUGUCAGUGAGUUAUAUGAUCUCAUGGUCAUAGGAACAAAUACUUGACACGCAGAAAACAGUAGCAACAAAAUGACACGGUCAACAUGCUACGUCUAUUAGUUUGGGUCUAGUCCAUCACGUGAUUCUCCUAAUGACGUGAUCCAAUUAUCAAGCAACAACACCUUGUUUAUAAUCAGAAGACACUGACUAUGUUUGAUCAACUGGCUAGCCAACUAGAGGCUUGCUAGGGAUAGUGUUUUGUCUAUGUAUCCACACAUGUAUAUAAGUCUUUAUUCAAUACAAUUAUAGCAUGGAUAAUAAACGAUUAUCUUGAUACUGGAAUUAUAAUAAUAACUAUAUUUAUUAUUGCCUCUAGGGCAUAAUUCCAACAAAAGAAAGUUACAUCGGAUAGAUCUCCAUGAAGAUCAUGGAGAACUUUGUAUUGAAGAUCCAAGAGAGAGAAGAAGCCAACUAGCUACUGGAUAUGGACCCGAAGGUCUAUGGUGAACUACUCACGCAUCAUCGGAGAGGCAAUGGUGUUGAUGAAGAAGCCCUCCGUGUCCGAAUCCCCCUCCGGUAGGGCACCAGAACGGUCCCCAGAUGGGAUCUCGCGGAGACAGAAGUUUGCGGCGGCGGAAAAGUAUUUUCGUGGCUCUCUCUGGAGGUUUUGGGAUUUUUGGGAAUUUAUAGGCGAAAGAGGUAGGACAGAGGAGGCAAGGGGGCCCACGAGCCUGCUAGGCGCGCCUAGGGGGCUCGUGACCUCCCACGAGACCUCCUGCCUUGGUUCUCAAGUCUUCUGGGUAUCUUGUGUUAUGAAAAAAAUCAUCCCGCAGGUUUUAUUCCAUUUGGACUUCGUUUAGUAUUCAUUUCUGAAAAAGGUCAAAAACACGGAAAAAACAGAAACUGACACUAGCCACUGGGUUAAUAGGUUAGUCCCAAAAAUGAUAUAAAAAGGCAUAUAAAUGCAUAUAAGACAUUCCAAGUUGAUAAUAUUAUAGCAUGGAACAAUCAAAAAUUAUAGAUGCGUUGGAGACGUAUCACGUACGGUGGCCCGAACCUGCAUAGUUUGCGCGUCUCCGUAGUCCCCGGCGAGAAGGAGUGAGUUCGUCGCCGAUCUUGCUUUUUUUACCGUCGUGUUGUAGGUUCCCAAGCAAAGUCCCCGAGUGUUCGAACCCUAGUUCUUGGAUGCAGAUCCCACACUCCGACAGCCUUCACAUGUGUGAAACUGACUGUAAUUUGGGUUCAGUCACAUCUUUAAUAUAAAUGGCUGUUAUGUGGAGGAAAAAUAUAUUCAAUGCUAACUAAUGGGUACAUCUUAUUUCAACAUAAAUGGAUGAAAAAAGAACCUAAAUGAUAACGCCCACAUGUAUGGCAUGUUUGCACUUCGCCCACACACGUCAAUCCACGUUGAUUCUGUUAUGCACGAAUCUUGACAAUGUUUGAUGACUUUUGUGUGCCACGUAUGCAUCAUCGUGUGUGUGAGCAUUGGAGAGUUCGCCCAUACGACCCACAGCGUGCGGUUGCCAGCUGCGCCGUGUGGGCCAACUCUCCAACGCCCGCACAGUCAACACCUAGUCUGCACACAUGUGGGUGAACUGCCCUUCGCGCACAAGACGCUCGUACGUCGUUAGAUGGCAAGUGCACUUGCACGUACGUGACAACUAGGUAAACACACAUGACAACUAUAGCUCGUUGCUAGAUGACAACUGAAGUUGCGCGUACGUGACAACUAGGCAAAGACAAAUGGCAACCAUGAUUAACCAUACAUGAUAACUAGGCUUGGACCACAGGUGACAACUAGUUAAUCACAUAUGACAACUAUUGUUUGGCCAUAUAGGGCAAGUAGUUAAUCACACAUGACAACUAUGGUUUGAUUACACGCGGCAACAACAGUUAGUUAGACAUGGCAACUAUAGUUUAUCAAAACAAAGAAGUUGACAUGCUUUCACAACUACAUUUGCCAUCCCGGGUAACUAAAUUUGCUAUCCCGAGGUAACAAAAAUGUCAUACCGCGGGUAACUAACAUAGCUACGUGAGGACGUAUGGACAUAUUUGCUUCGUGCCACACACAUGAGAUAAAGAUGAGUAGUAGUUGUUAGACGUGUGACACGAAGUAGCUGCGCCCACACGUCUGGACAGUUUUAAUAUUCGUCCAUACAUAACCGUGUGGGUGUCUCUUGAUUAUGCAAUUCAGGACGUGUGAUAUGCCAUGUGUGGUGAAUAUCAUGAUCCGAAAAGAAUGCUUAAAAACAAGUAAAUUGCUAGAAAUGUAUAUGUAGCAUAGUGUGAACUUUAUUGCUAUCGGAAGAAUGUACAUGGAGCCAUCAACAGAGAAUAAAGACACACAUGGAAGACACACAUCGUAGAAAUCACAAUCACUGUGACACUGUCAUUGUCUGCUUAUACAAAUUACAACAUUUUACAUGUACCGUGCUGUAUUGUGUCCUAAUGGUGCCCCUUUUUGGAUUCAAUCGGCCAAAUCUAAGCCCUGAUUAAACCCAAAAAACUCUAAAGAAAGAAAAGAAUGGAGUUAACACUUAAUUAACACAUCUGAAACAUAUCUUCGCUGAACAGCUGAUGGGGCGUGGGUUUGUUAGACUUGGAUGAAGGAAUGGCAGGGCACCCCCAUGAGCUGCGCGAGGCUGGUGGACCUGAGCUUCCUCUCCGUGACGGCGGGGUCUUCCAGCAACAGCACCUUGUCCUUGUCCUGCACGCCGGCCAUGUGCAGGUGGUCGCCGUCAUCCCGCUCCCUGCCCCGGUACAGCAGCCGCUGCUCCCUGGGCCACAGCCCGGUGGCCAGCGACAGCAGCACCUUGAGGUCGCCGAAGGUGGCGGUGGCGUCGAUGGAGACAUCGUGCUGCCACCCG